CCUUUAUAUUUUCCUAAAUUGAGAUAUGAAUCUUCAAUUAUAGUACUUAAGAAUGAUUAAUAAAAAAUUAAUGUUUGUGCGUAAUUGCAAUACAAAUUUAAAAUUUUUCUUUUAUCUUGUGUUGCAAUUUAUGAAUUUUCGAUGAAUAUUAUGUAUGAAAAAUAUUUAAAAAGUUAUUUUUUUAAUACUAAAUUUACUUCUACGACUUUGCUACAAUAAACCUUUUGUCUAAUGACCAUUUGUGUUCUUUUCAUUUUGUUCAAAAAAUCAAACACAUCAUAUAAUAUAUUUAAUACUGUAUGAUCCAUUUUUUUCAAGUGCAUCAACAAUUCAACAAAACGAUUAUGAUUCAAUUAAAAGAAAAUAUUUAUUAUUUUAAAUUACAAUUCUAAUCAAUAGCGAAAAAAAAUUCACACUAUAUUGAAUUAUUUCAACAGUUAUUAUUACAUUGCUUAAAUUGUAUUUAAUAAUAACUAGAACUUAAAAUUUAAAUCUAUUUGAAUUUGAAAAUUAGAAAUGAUUCUUAAAGUAUUUUUGAUAUUCAAAUAUAAGAAAUGAUUUAUUUAAAUAUUUUUAAUUUUUCUUUUCUCAUCGCGAGAAGCGCGAACAUAUUCACUAGUUAUCCUAUAAAUCAGAAAUAAUUAGUGAACAAGCUACAAUAAUUCUCAUAUCAUGAAAGAAAUUUUUAGUAGUAACUAAUUGACGAUUGACUUUAAAUUUUUUGCCUAGAGUCCAUAAAUUACUCAUUUUCUCAUAUAUCAUAUAUGUUCCCUUCUGUAUAUUCUGAAACAAAAACUUAUUACUUUUAGCAAUUACUGUUUGAAUCAUUGUCAUAUUAUAUUUUCAAGAUUCUUGUUGCACAUUAAUCACUUUGACAUUAGUUUUUUUACUCAGUUGUCAACCCUUAAGGUAUGCUCAUUUGAGUUUCUUACAAAGUUUCAAAAUCAUAACCCCUCUUUCGAUCAAUCCUAAAAAGUAGUCUAAACCAGUUUUGAAAACCCUACAACUCUCCUACCAUAUAUGCACAAGAGUUUAUUUUUUAUAAUUUUAAGUUUGUCUUAAUUUGUCAAAUAGCCACAAAAGGCUGAUGCUUUUACCAUAGCGGAGCUAUUUGCCUAUUCGAUUACAAAGUUCCAAACAAAAUAUUUUUUGGCAUUUAGUUACACAGAAUUAGUUAUAUUGAUGUUUGUUAUUUUAAAAUUAUCUCUCAUUGAAUAUUUGAUUUGUUGUAUUGAAAAUAUGUGUGACAUAAUUUUAAAGAAAAAAAUAUUUGUUUACGAAAAUAUCAUUCACCUUAUUUAGUAGGAAAAAAACUUGAGGUACCUCAUAGGUAUUUUUGUCAAUUUUGUAAUUCUAAAUAAUUAAUCCCGAUGAGGGUUUGGGCUUUAAUGUGUAUUGUGAUGCUUUAGUGGUUGGAGGGUCAGAGGGGUCAGUUUGGGUGGUGUUUGGAUGCAGAAGAGAAUAAUGACUGUUUAUGUUUCUAAACAAUUGAAGACCCAUGGAAAAGUGUUGCACCCCUAUUAUCGAACCAAGUCAAAAUAGUUUGCAACAUAAAAUGUCUACGACUUUGAUUUUGAAAAUUAUUUAGUGUCGCCACCUAAUUUUAAGGAAAAGAUUAGGAGAACCAUUCUUUAAAUAUGUAAAUGUAAACUCUGUUUGAUUUGCGAAACCGAUGAAAUUUUAAAUAAGGAUUUUGGUUAGUCGAGGAAAGGUGCUAAGUAUUCCUCAACGCAUGUCCAAAGAUGGUCCUUAAAUUCAGUUUAGAAAAUAAUUAUGACGAUUUUAUUUAUUUAUUUGUUUUAAAAAAAUUGUGAUAAGUAAAUUUUCAUUAAUUCGAGGAAAAGAGUAAAGUAUGUCUCAAUAUACAUCUAUAAAAAAAAAUAAUUAAUAAUAGUAUGUUUAUCAUGCAGUAAAAUAAAUAAGUAAAUAAAUAAAUAUACUUGAAAAUUAUGAAUAUUUUAUACUUAGAAAAUAUAGAUGUGUGUUAAAUUCAUAUGAAAUAAAUGAGCUUAUAUAAAGCUAUCGUAUAUAAAUGUUGACUUUAAAGAAUAUGAUAAUUUAUUACCUUAUUAACAUCUAUAAAAUUAAGAUGUCAAAGAAAUAAAAUAACAUAUAGGGUAUAAAUAUAUAAGAAUAUAUAUGAUGUAUAGUAAACAUAAGUCGGGCAAAAAUUUAAUCAAAAUGGAGCUUCAAAUAUAUUAAAAUAUUAUGUAAUGUUAGUAAUCUUAAAGAUAUUUAUUAUAAAGUAAAAUAUGUACAUGUAUAUUGUUCAAGACACAUGAACGUUUAUUAUUUUAUUUACAUGUAGGGACAAAUUUACAAUAGAUACAUAUGUAGUAACAUAAUAUGUAUGUUAAAGUGUAGAAAUUUAUAAACUACAUAAAAAAAAUAAUCGACAUUCGUAAAAAGGGAUAGUAGAUAUGAGAAAAAUAUUAUGGUAUGUAUAACAAAAUGAUACAUAAAAUAUAGGGAAGGCUAGGUGUAAGAAAUAAAAAUAAAAUAGAUAUACCUUGUGAGUAUGACCUAUAUAGAGGGGAAAUUCUUAUCUAAAAGCGCUCUCAAGAAAUAGAAAAAUCCUACCGCUGUCAAUCUUGAUUUACCUACAUUCCGAUGGCCGCCGCUGCCAGUGGCCAACUUUCACUGGAGAAGUCAACGAAAAUCACAAGUGACUCUCAUACCAUUAAAACCAAUAUCGUACCUUCAUGGAGAACCACAAGUGAUUUGGGAACAAGAGGGAGUGAAUCAGAUGACCGUUAAUGAAAAUUUGGAGUAUGUAGUGAUUGGUAAGUUCUCGUAUGACUGAUAGGAUAUACAAGAACUAAGAAGACUUAUUCCCAAACAAUGUGAACUGAAAGGUGAAUACAACAUCGGGUUGCUGAGUAACUGACAUGUUUUGAUAUGGGCAAUGUUAUUAGAGGACUAUAUUCAUUUACUAUCAAAACUAGAGUUUUACAUCACCCAGAAGAGUUGGUCUUAUCUAAUGAAAACCUUAAAAUGAGAUCCAAUGUUCAAACUGGAGGAGGAGACAUCAACAACGAUUGCAUGGAUAUCCUUGACAUCUGUUCCUCCAAAAAAAAAUUGGAAAAAAAGUAGUUUUCUCCCUAGCAGCAACAGUGGGGAAGCCAUUUUAGGUGACAUGGCGACAAGAAAGCAAACAAUGCUGAGUUGUGCAAGAGUGAAGGUGGAACUUGACCUUCUUAGGGAAUUCCCUAAGUGCAUUAAGAUUGGGAUGAGGGGUGGAGAAGUGGAGUAAAAUCAAAUAUAUUAUGUCCCAAAGUACUGUCAGUAUGAUCCAGGAGCACAAUUUUGAACAAUGCUACGUAGAACACCCAGAGUUGUAUCCAAAGAACAUGAAGGGUCGUGAGGAGGAGAAGAAGAAGGAAUUGAAUGGUAUAAAGAAGGAAGUGGAAGGAAAAGAAAGAAGAGGAAUUUGUGGAACAAAAAUAUAAGAAAUGGGGAGGAGGCAGGAAUAAACAACUAGAAAAGAUUUGGAACAAGGUUGAUAUAAUUACCGAAAAUAAAUUCAAUAUGUUAGAGCAGGACAACCAGGAAAAGGAAGGGAGCAUGAAAAAUAGAAUUUGACAGAAAUAGAACAUGACAUAGAUAUAAAGAAAGAAACACAUGAAAUUCAAGAAAGCGAUAAUAAGGAGAGAAGAAGUAGGACACAACCUGUAUAAAAGAACACAAGUGCAAUUGAUUUGAGCAGCAACUCAAAAGGAGAAAACACAAAAUUUAGAAAAUUCUCAUAAGGAAGGUAAAAAAGGAAGGGGUGGUAGUUGAAAUCAAUGAAGAAGCCUUGCCAACAUCUAAUACCAAUAGUGAGAACAAUCGGGGGAGGUAGGGCAAACAAAGUAAAUACAACAAGAAACUUGCUAAAGGCAAGCUCAGAAUCUAGGAGGAAGAAAAUAGCAAUUGCGGAAGGGCCGAAAUUAAUAGAGGAAGAUGAGGAGAUUUUGCAACAAAAAAAUAUACGGAGGAAGAUGAAGACAUGGAGUAUAACAUUCAGCAAAUUAGUAAAACAUGUGAUUUAUCACCAAGACACACUAAUAGUCUGAAACAUAGCAAGGAGCAGUAGGGAAAGGGCAUCCAGUAGUGAUCAAUGAUUGAAAAAAAAUAUCAUAUUUUGGAACAUUAGGUUAAUUAAUACUCGAAAUUUUUUGAGAGAUUAAUGGAUCUAAAUAAAAGACAUUACUAUUCCUUUUAUAGCCUUAAUAGAACCAUUUCAGAGUCCGUCAGAGUUAUAUCAAUACAAAAAAAGUUGAGUUUUGCGAAUGCAGGGGCAAAUUACUCUAGAAAAAUCUGAUUUUGCUGGAGAGAGGAGUGGGAAGGUAGUAUAUUACUGAUAAUGCUCAAAUCACCCUCCAAAACUAAUUAAAAGAGUGAGCAAUCGUAGUCAGUAAAAAACACAACGAAGAGUCGGGGUCAAAUCUCAUAGGAAAUGGUAUGUCGUAGAGAAUGUCUUAUCAAGAAAUUUAAACUUUAAUUUAGCUCAUUUGUAAUAGUAAGAACAAUUGGGUGGAUGAUACCACCAACUUAAUAUAAAUCUUUGAUUAUCAACUACCACAAUUAAACUAAAAAUUAGACGAAUCAAGAGUUAACCAAAUAUCUAGGGAUGCGGGGAUUGAAAAUCGAUAUCACAUAGAGGUAAUUGCCUUGCUCUAUAGUAAUGAACAUUCAUGAAUAGGAUAAGUCAUCUUCAUUGACGCUAAUCAUUUUUCAAUCUCAAAGCAUUUAUGCAUAAAAUCUCCUUUCGGUCUCAUCUAUAUGACAAUCCUAAACAACCCACUGAUAAAAUUUUAACGAGGCACAUCAUCUAUUAAUGGACAUUCAAGAGAGAGUGUUAUGAAACUACCAAUUUUGGGGAUGUCCUAGAAAUUUGAUCCAACUAAUGAGUUUCCUAAUUCACAGUGAAAAUCAAUCUAGACAUGAAAAUCAAUAACAAGUGUAAUACAAAGUUUCCCGCUUUUCUUUUUCUCAAUAUUCUUUACAAUUAUAUAUUUCAUACUAGUUCUCAAAUACGUGUGUUGCACGUGUAUACCAUGCUAAUUAAAAAUAUAAGUGUGUGACGUGUAAAAUACAAGUUUGAAUCGAUGAGCGGUGAGCAUAUUCAAUUGAUAUUAUUAUCAUUGCAAGACACAUCAUACAAAAAUAUUGUUAUCAAGUAAAUUUCAAAAGUAAUACUCUAACGACUUCAAAUGUACAAUUCUUAUAAUAUCACAACAUAUAAUUUAAAUGUCGGUACUAUGGUUGCAAAUUAUUUAAUGCCUUAAAGUUUUCGCCUUCUUUUUAAGGAACAAUAGCCUCCACCUUCUAACGGAUGCAUACAUAUCAAAGUUGUUGUCAAAGGAGAGUUGUGUUUUGUUUUAAUUGUUGAGAAAUUCGAUUAACAUAUGCUUUUCUUAGGAUGAUUAGUAGAUCAUUAUUAAUUUAAUUAUGUACACCUACAAAUAAAUAGUAUUUAUUUGUUAUAAAAUAAUCAUUAUUUAAAUAUUUAAUUUACAUAUAUAAAUCAUAAUUACAUGUAUAUGUACCAUUUGUCAUCUUUGGCUUAUUCAAAAUUAUUAUUUCUGUCAUUCAUAAAUUUUGACAAAAAAAAAUAUUUGUUAAAUUGUAUACAUAUAACUGAAUUAUGAAAUACAACACAAUCAAUUGUGAGAUAUUAAUAGUAUGAUAUUGUCAUACUUCAUAAAAAAUACAACACCUUAUUAUAUCAGGAAAAAUAAUAAAAGUGUGCAUUUGCUAGAAUGAAAACGAAAACAAUAUAAAUAUUACUAAGAGCCUAUUUGACAUUGCUGCUAAAAACUACUUAUUUCUAGAAACACUUUUUAAAAUAACUUUUGAGAAAAAGAAAAUAAUAAUUUAUGUUUGGCAAAUUCAUUUGAAAAGUGUCUUUGAUAAGCAAAUUGUGUUUGACUUAUUUUCUUUAAAAAGUGCUUUUGAGAGUCAAAUUAUGAAAAAUGGCAAGUAUCAAUGUGCGUUUAAUAUUAAGAUUAUUUUAUUGACAGAAACUUUUUUAAGUAUCUAAUACAAAAACUUUGAUUAAAUUAGAAUGUACAUAGAUAAAUAAAUAAAUAAUUAACAAAAUAUAUUAAUAUAAUAUUAACAUGAUGAUUUAAAUAUAAUUAAAUAAAUCAAGCAAAAUAAAUUUAAAAAUCAUUCCAUAAAUUAAAUCACUACAUACGAAAAAAUUUAUCACAAAAAUAAAUAAAGUCUUUCAUACAUCACAAUUUUUUCAAUAAUUUCAUCCCUAAUUUUUUCACGCAAUAUUUUCAUAAUAGUAGAAGAUUUGACUUGUAUUUCUGAAGGUAUCUCUGAAAUCUUUAAUUGUUACUUUUUCUCCUUUUUUUUUAAUCUUGCAAAAAUGUUGUUGUUACCUUUAUUUCUAAUUUAUGUAAAAUAAUAUAUAAAAUACAAAAUAAUAAUACAUAAACAUAAAAAUAAAAAUAAAAUAAAAAUUUAUUACAUAAAAAUAAAAAAUAAAAUUCUUAAAUGAAACUUAACCAAUCUUAUGAGAUAUGCUAAUUAAUUAAUAAGGAAUAUAUUGGUAAAUAUCAUGUGUAUAUGAAAUGAGUAUUUUAGUCUUAAAAGAAUAAUUUUCUACUUUUGUUUUUUUUUUUAAGAAGCAGAAAUUUUUAGCUUCUAUUUAAAAGCAUUUUUAAGGAUUUGCCAAACACUUAAUUUUCUUAAAAAAUAUUUUUUUCCAAAAAAAACAAAUAAUAUUUUUGGUCUCCCAACAACAAUGCCAAACAAGCUCUAAUUCACUAUUGAACCAAAAAUUAUAUACCGCCAAAAAAAAAAAGUGCAUAUAAAAGAAAAGAUGACCUUCAAUUUGUGUAUAUACAUACUUAUGGGCCGACCUAAUACAAAUGAAUUGCGUAUAUGAAAAUUUCAAAUCAUCAAAUAAAAAUUCAAUGAAAUAGAAAUAUUUUCAAUCAAUAAAUAAAUAGGAAACAAAAGUAUUACACCCUCUUCAUAAGUUCAACUUCCAUCAUUCACAUAAUUAGACAUUAAAUAAAAAGAUCAAUAUAUUAUAAAACAGAGGCAUUUUCAUCAAAAUAAAAAAGAGAACAACGCAAGUAUUACUCCACUAUACUUAAGUUUAGCUCAGUGAAUUUAUGAUUGAAAUAUAAAUAGGAAAUAUUACAAAAGGUGAAAAGACUUAUAGUAACUGAUUUGAAAUAUAAUGUUUAAUGUACGAUUAUGUCUUUUCGAAUUUUCAAAUAUAGCACAUAAAUAAGAGAAAUAAAAGAAAAUUAAAAAGUAAGAAGUUUGUAACUGAUUUGACAUUAUAUUGUUUAAUGAGAAAUCACGUCUUUUUUAAUUUAUUCAGGUAAACAUGAAAUAAAAUAAAGAAUCAACAAUUUUUGAUCUAUUAAUAUUAAUGUGUGUACAAUGUACAUAAUACUAUUAUAAUUUCUCCCAUUUGUAACUGAUAUGACAUUAUUUGGUUGCAUGGUCAUAAUAGUAUUAAUAAUUUAUUUCGUUUCAUUUAGUGAAAAGGUUUCUAACCGGUGACAUUAUACUAUUGUUUAAUGAGGAAUUAUGUCUUCUUGAUUUAUUAACGUGGUGAAAGAGAAUAUGAGCAGAUUUUGAUGAAUAGAGCAACUAUUUAAUAUUUAAUUAAUUAUAAUAUAUUAUAAUAUUUUAAUUUAGUAUAGGAGGCAACAUCGUAAUCCAACUUUGAAAAUAGAAGCUUUUCACUUUUAAUGAUAUGUGAUGAUAAUUUCUCGCUAAAAGCUUUGUGUAAGAUGUCGUUUGGUAGAACGCAUUAGAAAAUUAAUACAUGCACUAACUUUGUCUAUUACUAGUAUUUUGUUUGAUACAUCUUUUUUAAUAACUAAGUAUCGCAUUAGUUAUACACUCUAUUUGAUAUUGAGGUAUGUAUAAAUAAACAUGGAAAUCUUUGAUAUUAACAAUGCAUGCAUUAACAUUAUUAAAGAUACAAUUUCCCCUCAAAACCUUUUCCACAACCUUUCUCCAUUUCUGUCGAUGAUAUUUUUAUAAACAAAUAUUUCUUUUAAAAAUUAUGCAAUGCACGUUGUUUUUAACACACCAAAUCAAACAAUGCAUAAGAAAUAGUCUCAACAUAACUAAUACAAACAUAACUAAUACAAGCAUUUAAGACUUGAAUACUAAAUAGUGAAGAUUAUUUGUUUUCUCAACAUCUGAUUGUAUAAAAUUGAUUUUUAUUUAAAAAUAAUAAAUAUAAAAUUUAAAUAAAAUACUAAAUUGAUCUAAUAUUAUAUCAAUAAAAUAUUUUAACUUUUUAUAUGACCAUAAAUGAUAAUUAUGACUAAUGAUGAUGAUUGUGUAUAUCAAUUUGAAAUGUGUUAACUGAUGACAGUGGUGGUUGUGGAUAGUAUCUUAUGGUAUAGUUGUUGACAAUCGUCAUUAAUUGUGGUUGUUGGUGGGGUGACGAUGAUUAGUUGUGGAAUGAUAGUGAUAGCCAAUAGUUGUAGUAAAUGAUGAUGACAAUUACUGAUAUAUAAUAUUGACUAAUGUUGGUAAUUAUCGAUGGUGAUUAGUGGAUGUAAUAAUGGUUGGCGGUGAUAAUUGCAAACGAUGACUAAUGGAGAUGAUAAUUGAUAAAGGUGAUUGAUGGUAGUCAUAAUUUGGCUAAGGAUAGUGGUUGUGGAUGGUAAGUGGUGGUGAUUGAUGAUGGUGAUAGUUGCGGCUAAAAUGGUGAUUGUGGAUAUAUAUGAGUGAAGAUAGAUAGAGUAGUGUUGAACUGUCAUCUUUGUAGAAAUUUUAAAUAAAAAUCUUAAUGAUAUUAAAACUUUGUUAGAGAUAUGAACCAUUCAAACUUAUUUAUACCCAUUAAACAAUUGUAAAAUAAGAAAUAAAUACAAUUAAUAAUUUAGGUGUGAAUGAUUAAGAUUAGAAAAUAUAUAUUAACUUUUAAUGAUUGAGAUCUCAAUGAUAAGAUUAAAGCCUUCAUUAAAUGCAAAUAAAUAAGGCUAAUACAUGCAUUACUAAUACCCGCAAUACUAAUAGAUCAUAUUCAACACUAUUCUUAUACAACCUACCAAACGACUCCUUAAUUUUUUUAAAAAGAAAAAAAUGCUUUUUUAGCAAGGCUAUAAACCUUGAACUAUCCCAUUUUAAUUUGGAAAAUUUUCGCAUAUAGCCACUCAAAAAUAGCUUAACUAUGCUCCAUAGCUAUAGUUUGCUAAUUACGAUUCAUAGUUACAUGUUAUAGGAAAGAGAGUGGCGAGCGAGAUUGUGAGAGGGGAGGAGAGAGGCGAGUGAGAGAGGGCAGAGAGUGGAGAGAGGUUGAAUUGUAUAUAUAUAUAUAUAUAUAUAUAUAUCGGUUAGAUAAUUGUAUAUAUGUAACUACUAUGUAUAUGUAUCAAUUAUUGUAUUUGUAUAUCUACAUACAACUUAAAUAUGACCGUUAAGUUUUCUGGGAUCUUGAAACCCUACAACCAUCAUCAUCAAUUUGCAUAGAUCCGAUUACCAUGGCCGCCACGGCCACAGGUCAACCUCCUCCAGAGGUAGGCCAGCUUCAUGGAGGCACGUAUGCUGAAAAAUUAAAACCAAAAACUGCCCAUAUUAAACCCAUUCCGUUAAAACCAAUAACAUAUUUGCAUGGAGAACCACAAGUGAUAUGGGAACAAGACGAGGUGGAACAAAUGAUUGUAAAUGAGAAUCUUGAAUAUGCGGUGGUUGGAAAGUUUUCGUACGGAUGGCCAGAAAUACAAGAUCUAAGGAAACUCAUUCCGAAACAAUGCGAGCUGAAGGGAGAUUGUAAUAUAGGGCUUUUGAGUAAUAGACAUGUUCUGAUCAAGGCAACAUUAUUGGAGGAUUAUGUUCAUCUGUUAUCUAAGCCUGCCUUCUUCAUUACUCAAAAUAAUUGGUCAUUUCCAAUGAGAACCUUGAAGUGGGAUACGUUUAAUCCGGAAGAGGAGACGACCACUGCGAUAGCUUGGAUUUCUUUUCCUUCUCUUCCACCAAUUUUUUUUGGCAAAGAGGCAGUAUUUUCAUUAGCAGCGGCUGUAGGCAAACCAUUACAAGUGGAUAUGGCAACAAGGAAUCAGACGAGACCAAGUUGUGCACGUGUUAAAGUGGAGGUAGACUUGUUAAGAGAGUUCCCAAAAAGAAUUAAAAUUGGUAUGAGGAUGAAGACUGAUGAGGUGGUGAAAAAGUGGGUGAAAAUCAAAUACGAUUAUGUUCCCAAAUACUGUCAGACUUGUAUGAUCCAAGGGCAUGAUGAAGAACAAUGCUAUGUUGUUCACCCUGAUUUGCAUCCAAAUAGGGAGAAAUCAGAAUACGAUGAAGGCAAGAGGUGGAAGGCAAGCACAUCAGAAAUACAAACAAAGAUAAUGACACAAAGGGGAAAGAAAGUGAACAACAUCAUGGGAGAAAAGAAGAUGAAUUCAUGGAACAAAAACAUAGAAAAUGGGGGGGGGGGGAGCUGGAAGAAAUAAGGAACCUGUGAAAGUGUGGAACAUAGUGGGAAUUGCAACAGGGAAUAAGUUUAACCUGUUGGAUUCAGGGAACCUGGUUCGAGGGGAAGAUCAGAUAGUGGAGAGGGUGAAUGAGAAAGAGGCAGAACAGAAGAGUGUACAGGCCAAAGUAAAUUCCCCUGGGAGGCAAAAUAGUAAUAACAAAGAAUUGAAGGAAAAUACUUCUAACAAAGGUAUGGACAAUACAGAGAGAAGAAGUACAACACAUACUAAACACAAGUUAGGAGUGGAUCGUGGCAGCAUAACAAAACAUGUGGAGAUUCAAUCUGAAGAUUUACAUGAGGUGCACAAUGAGGGAUUAUUGUUGAAAAGUGGUGAGGAAGGGAGUAGUUAUAUGGCAAGAAGAGAUAGCGUUACCACAUCAAGGAAAUUGUUUGAAACAAGUAUAUGAGAGAUAAGGGUUAAUCAAGGUGACGAUGUAGUCAUUCCAAAAGGACCAGAUUUAAUAGAUGAAGAGGAGGAAGUAAUGCAGCAGAGAAAAGAUAUCGAAGAAGACGAGGAUAUAGAAUUUCAUAUACAGCAGAUCAGUAAGGCGGGAGAUCUGUCACCAAGACACACUAACAGUCUGAAAAAUGGUGCAAGAAAGGGGAGACCUUUUAUUCCAUUACAAGUACAAACAAGGAGCAGUAGAGAUAGGGGCACCAACAGUGAUCAAUGAUUGAAAAAAUGAUCUUUUGGAAUAUCAGGUCCGUCAAUACUCAAAAGUCCUUUGAGAUAUUAAUGGACUUGAAUAGAAGACAUUAUUAUGCAUUUAUAGCCUUGAUGGAGCCUUUUCAGAAUCCAUCAGUGCUAGAACAAUAUAAAAUGAAACUAGGUUUUGACAAGGCGACAUCAAAUUGUAAUGGCAAAAUUUGGUACUUUUGGAAAGAUGGAUGGAUGGGCAAUAUAUUGUUGGACACCAUUCAACAAGUUACUAUCCAAUUCAAACACAAUAAUAAGGAGUUUAUUAUAUCGGUUGUGUAUGCAAGGUGCAAUGCUUUAAAGAGACUGGAGUUGUGGGAGGAGUUAGAGAGUAUAGCGGAGAGAGUGCAAUAUCCUUGGAUUAUUGGGGGAGAUUUUAAUGUCAUUUUAAAUGAGGAGGAAAAGCUGGGAGGUUUAGAAUUUUCUCCUAAUGAAGCAAUCGAUUUUGCAGCUUUUAUUAGUAGUGGUGCACUUUCUGAAGUGCGAUGGUUAGGCAGUAAAUUUACUUGGUGGAAUGGAAGAAUUGAGGAGGCGUGCAUCUUCAAAAGAUUGGAUAGAAUAUUGGUGAAUCAAGCUUUUCUGGAUGUUUUUCCUUCUUCUGAGGUCCAUCAUCUAAUUAGACAAGGGGUCAGACAAGGGUCUGAUCAUGCACCGCUCCAUAUGAUAUGUAACUCAGAAGAGGAACCUAUUAUCAAACCUUUCAGAUUUCUAAACUUUUGGAGUAAACAUAAAUAGUUCAAGAAUAUAGUAGAGGAGAAUUGGAAGGUUGAUUUUGCUGGAAAUCCAUUUAUCGAAUUCCAUGCAAAAUUGAAAAAGGUAAAGAAAGCACUGUCAAUUUGGAGUAAAGAGGUGUUUGGUGAUAUUUUUCAACAAAUUUCCACGAUUGAGGACAUCAUUAAGGUGAAAGAGGCGCAGUUGGAGAUACAACCUUCAGCAACUAAUAGAGCUGAACUAAGCAAGGUGGAAGCGGAAUUAAAAAAAUUACUUGAAAUUGGAGGAGGAUUUUUGGAGACAGAAAGCGGGAAUGAAGUGGUUCAUGGAUGGAGACAGGAAUACAAAAUUUUUCCACUCGUAUGUCAAAGGUAGAAGAAAGAAAUUACACAUGCCUGAGAUGAUCACAGAGCAAGGGGUGACACUGAGUACUAAUGAUGAAAUUGGGGAGGCAGCAAUUCAAUUUUAUAAGGAUCAAUUUUCUGAAGAGAGAAGAGUAGAGGAGUAUUCAGUGUUGAAACAUAUUCCUAAGUGCAUAACCAAUGCAGAAAAUGAAGUAAUGACAUAUCUCCCUGAUCAAGAUAAAGUUAAAAAAGUGGUUUUCGGGCUAAAUGGAAGCAGUGCAUGUGGGCCAGAUGGCUUUACUGGUCAUUUCUUUCAAAGUUGUUGGGAGAUAAUUGGAGAAGAUAUUACCAAGGUGGUGAGGGCAUUCUUUUGUGGCCAAGAGCUGCCCAAGUUUGUAACUCAUACAAACUUGGUGUUGUUACCCAAAAAAGUAUCAACAAAGCAUUUCACUGAUUUAAGACCCAUAAGUCUUAGUUCCUUUAUAAAUAAAGUUAUAUCCAGAAUGGUUCAUGAGAGGAUGGUAGUGGGGUUACCUAAUCUUAUAUCACCAACACAAUCAGGCUUUGUUAAAGGAAGGAACAUUACAGAGAAUAUCUUAUUGUUGCAGGAUAUAAUCAGAGACAUUAACAGGAGGAACAAAAAUAUUAAUGUGGUUGUCAAGUUGGAUAUGGCCAAAGCAUAUGACAGAGUUUCUUGGAUCUUUCUAACGAAAGUUCUGAGAAAAUUUGGCUUUGCAGAGGCAAUCAUUGAUAUGAUAUGGAGAAUCAAACAAUUGGUACUCAGUAUUAAUAAACGGCAAACCACAUGAAUUUUUUCAGUCCUCGAGAGGACUGAAGCAGGGUGAUCCAUUAUCACCAACCCUGUUUAUUAUUGCAGCAGAGGUAUUAGCCAGAGGGUUAAAUAAUUUACAUAGGGAUGAUAGCGUGAAGGGUUAUGGCCUUCCCAAAUGGAGUCCGGAGAUAAAUCAUUUGUCUUAUGCAUAUGAUACUAUUCUAUUUGGCUCAGGAGACAGAGGUUCAAUUAUUAAAAUGAUGAAGGUGUUAAGAGACUAUGAAUUGGUUUCGGGUCAAAAGAUCAAUAAGGAGAAAAGUUUCUUUUACCUUCAUGAUAAGACUCUUUUGAUUGUAGCCAUUAGAAUGCGUAGAUUAACAGGAAUAAGGCAAGGAUAUUUUCCUUUUACCUAUUUGGGUUGCCCAAUUUUUUAUGGAAGAAGGAAGAUCAGUUAUUAUACAAACAUGGUUAAAAAGAUUGCCAUGAGGGUCCUUACGUGGCAUAAUAAUUUUUUGACUUUUGGGGGAAAGUGGGUGCUUAUUAACAAUGUACUACAAUCCAUGCCUGUGUACAUGUUAUCUGCAUUAAACCCACCCAAAAAGGUAUUGGAGCAAAUACAUCAAAUUUUUGCUAAAUUCUUUUGGGGAAAUUUGGGUGGAAUUAAAGGAAAGCAUUGGGUGACAUGGAAAGAGUUAUGUUUUCCAAAAGUUAAAGGGGGUUUGGGCUUUAGAUCAUUACAUGACAUCAAUGAUGCUUUAUUUGCUAAACUAUGGUAGAACUUUCGAGUGUCCACAUCAUUAUGGGCAAAGUACAUGUGGAAUAAGUACUGCAAAAAGCUCCACCUUGUGAUGGUUACGAGUUCUGGUGCAUCACAGGUAUGGAUGAAAAUGAUCAACAUUAGGGAAGAAGUAGAGCAUGAAAUUUGGUGGCAGAUCAAAGGAGGAAAUUCCAGCUUUUGGUUUGAUAAUUGGACAAGACAAGGAGCUUUAUACUACACAGAAGGGGAAAGGGCACAUGAGGAGGAGCUAGAGGUGAACGAUUUUUAUCACCAAUGGAACAUGGAAUGAGAACAAACUGAGGAAUUUUAUAUCUGAGGAAAUGGUGCAACAUGUACUUACAAACAUCAGACCUAAUGUUUCAGAGGUAUAUAUUGAUAAGGCUUGGUGGAGAGGCACCACCAAUGGAACAUUCACUGUUAAAUCAGCAUUCCAUAUGGUGAGAUGCAAAAAGGCAGAAGAAGAAUGGAGUAAGUUCAUGUAGGUUAAAAGUUUGCCAAUUAAGAUUAGUUUCUUUCUUUGGAGAGUGUGGAGAAGGAUAAUUGCUACAGAUGAUAAUCUUAAAAGGAGAAGGAUGCAAGUAGUUUCCAAAUGUUACUGCUGCGAAACUGGGGAAAUGGAGACUAUGUCUCAUCUUUUACUAACAGCUCCUAUAGCCCAAAAGCUAUGGAAGCAGUUUGCUUCAUGUGCAGGUGUCAUUAUAAGUGAGUUAACCUUACAACAACUGAUUUUCAAAUGGUGGGAGCACAGUGCAUCAAGCAAGUUAGAGCACAUUUUGAAAGCGAUUCCAGCAAUCAUUAUGUGGGAACUGUGGAAGCGCUGAAAUGCUCGUAGAUAUGGAAAUGAAGUAACUUACAACAAGAUGUAUAAUCAAUGCCAAUUAAUUAUAUAUCAGUUAGUAAGGUUAAGAUUUCCAUGGAUUAAAAGAAUGCCAUUUCAAUGGCCAGAGAUGGUAGAGGUGUUACAUAAUUACAAACCUACUUUACACUACCAUUUGGUGAGUUGGAAGCCACCAAGUGAAGGUUGGGUUACGUGCAAUACUGAUGGAGCCAGCAAAGGGAAUCCGGGAAAGAGUUCUUAUGGGUAUUGUAUAAGGGAUGGAAAUGGAGACCUUAUAUAUGCGGAAGCACACAAUAUAGGUGAGGCCACCAACAUGGAAGCUGAGGUAAUGGCAAUGUGGAAAGCUUUACAUUAUUGUAUGGAAAAUAGAUACAGUCAAGUUCGAUUGGAAACAGAUUCUCUAGCUCUAAAAAAUAUGAUAAGAGGAUGUUGGAGAAUAUCAUGGGAGGUGAUUGAGAAAGUGGAAGAUAUCCAGCAAGUCAUUCAAAAAAUAAAUGUACAGGUUUGGCAUGUUUUUAGAGAGGCGAAUCAAUUAGCAGAUUUUAUAGCUAAUACAACGAUCAAUUCAGAGUAGAAAUUAACAUUUCAACAGUUCAAUCAGCUUCCAAGCAAAGGUAAAAAGAUUCUUAACAUUGAUAAACAACAGGUCCUUUCAGUUAAGAUAAAAACAAGGAGAAUUUAUAGCAACAACAAUGGUCAGCAUGCUUAGAUACAACAUAGAAGUCACAGGGUUUCUCAGCUAUGCUAUGUACAAUUUAGAUUUUUUCUAUUUUUGGAGCAAAAGAGUUGUACAGGAACAUUUCCUAAGCUAUGUCAACCAACAAAAAGUGAUUUAUGGACCAGCAAAAGGAGAGAGUCUAGGAGCCGUAUCUAAAUUCAAAACGAGCAGUCAACGGGGAGAUCGAGGUGAGAAAGCACGGGAGCUCCUGGGUUCACUCGUAUUCGUCUUCAACUGGAAAACAACAGGGGUCAGAUGUUUGCAGAAGAAAAGGAAGAAGAAGACGAAUGAGGUACAAGAUGACUUACAAAGAUCUUCAAAGCUGAAUGCAAGGCUCACACCCUCCUGGGAGCUUGACAAGAAUUCUUACCGGGCAGUACACAUACAAAAAGAAUGAGUGAGAUUAUCAAAAGAAUAAUAGGAAGAAGUAUCGGAAAAUGGAACCCAAACCUUUGACAGCUGAAUUUUUCAACAUUCUUCAACAUUGAAGAGCAUCAAGGGAACAUGGCUGCGGACAGAGAUGCAGAAAUGGAGAACUGGAAAAAGUGGAAAGAGAAGAAGGAUCAAAUUAGGAAACUCUAAUUGAGCGGGUCCAGGUUUUGGGCUAACAAUGUACUAUUUUUCUUUGUUUUGUUUGAACUUUUAGCCCAUUAAGGCAUUAAUAAAAGGACUUCAAGUCCAAAAUUAAUUUUAAAAAAUAAAAAAAAUAAAAAAUAUGACCACUUAAAUCCAUUUACACAAACUAGUUGAAUCUACCAGUAACCCGAUCUUGAAAUAACACCCGCAAACCAAUCUACGGCUUGACUUUGAUACCAUGUAGAGAAUGGCAGAAUAAAAGUAUAAUCGAAGAACCUUUCUACUAGCCCAAGAUCGUUAACUAAGAUCGAAAGAUUCAACUAGAGAAGAGAAAGCUAGAAAGGAGAAGGAUAUUUUGAAUAAGAGAACUUUGUUAUAGAAGAAAAUUCUUUGAUUUGGAUGAUUGGGUUAUGUUACAAAUGUACAAUACUAUCCCUUAUUUAUACUUACUUAUGGAUGAUUCUACAUACUACAAAAUUUAGACUAUUCCAUAAUUCAUUACAAAUAUCUAAUUCCUUUAAAACAUUUACAAGAAAAAUCUAGUAACAUUAUCUUCUACUCUAGAAUAUCUAGAUAUUUCUACAAGAUACUUAUUCAAGUGAAUAUACUAGAUUAUUCUAGAAACUAUGAUAUUUGAUCUUAAAAAGAAAUCAUUUUAGAUAUUUUCACAAAGAGAAAAUGUAAUUAUAGCUAAAAGUAUGUUUCAAAUUGUAAUUAAUGCAAACUAUAACUAUGUUAGCUAAUUAACUAAUAUCUAUAUAUUUUGCUCAACAUCUUAAUUUUACCCUUUUAAUUUUUAUCUAAACCCAUUCAUUGCCCACUAGCCCGAAUCUUUAACCCAUAUCAUCAAGAGAGUAGGCUGCAUCGCGGUUCUUUUGAUUUUUAUUAUUAUAAGCUGAGCAGAAUAAUAUCUGCCGAAAAAUCUCUGGUGAAUUAGUUCCCCCAAAAUCCCUGCCCCCUCCCUAUUUCCAGUUCUCAAUUUCCUCCAAUUCGUAUCUGUAAAAGUGAAGUGAAAAUUAGGGUUAAGGUUAGGGUUCCGUGCUAAGAAUCGAGUGCGGGGGCCAUUCGGAGCAUACGAUGUACGCCGAUCGGGUGGAGGCAGUGACGAAGAGGUCGAUAAGGGAUAGGCUUAACGGCAACACUGCUGAUGAUUUCGCUCGCCGGAGACAAGUUACCGGCAAGAGGUUUUCCCUCUUUCUCGCCUUUUUCCACUUACAUUUAUUAUUACUUCUGAUGGCUUCAGAUUUUUGUAACUUCUAGCUUUUUUCAUGUCUUUCUGUUUGUGUAUAUGCAUUUGGUCAGAUGUGUUAUUUAGUAAUUUAAGUAGGGUUUUUUCUUCAAUCCAGUACAGGAUUCGUAUUAAGUAGACAGACCAAUGUUUUGCAUCUGCUUACUGUAGAGAUUUCUGUCACGGUUUUUGUUGUUACCACGUGAGAUGUGUGUAAAUUGUAAUAGCUGUCUAAAGUUAUUUUUUCUUAUUUUGAAUAGAUAGUACUUACUCCCUUCCAUGUCUUUUGAUUGUUCUUGACUAGGCAUGAGUUUAAGAAAGAAUGAGACUUGAGCUUUGUGGUUUAAAACAAGCUAGAAAUAUUUAUGUUGCUAUACAUUAUCUGCAAGCAGUUUAAAAUUGAAUUAUUUCUAAAUAUAGAAAGCUGUCAACAAGGGUAUCAUACCCUACUCUCCCUCUGAUAUGUCCUCAUUCUUUUUGGGCCAGACUAAAAAGGAAGGUGUGCACAUCUAAUGGGACAGAGGGAGUAGCAGUUUAAGUUUUAUUGUCAAACUUUUGUUAGGAUUCUAAUUCUUUUGGGCAAAAUUUCUUUCAAUUAAAUGUGGUUUAGGAAGUUGAAUAUUUGUAAAAACUGUGAAUACCUGUUAAACAGAGGCACCGAGAGCGUUUGUGUAAUUGUCAAUUUUCUUCCGGGAAAGUGUCAUUGUUGCUUACUUGGCCUUCCUCCUUGUUGCUUCCGUAUGGCCUAUUAGAAAUCAAACCAAAUGAAUUCCUUUUGGGGCUCUGGGUCCUCGUAGAUUGGACUAUCUGCUUGACGUUCUAAAACAUAAAGUUUGAGUCGAUCUAAUGAUUAGUUCCGGGAGAUGCAUUAUUUUUUUUGAGAAGGUAGUAGAUUAUGUAUUAAAAAUGCAGCAAUAUUUAGCACCAGCUUAGCACCAAGUUGGUGCUAAGGCAGUCCAAGAGGCGGUAAUCCUCAUGUACAUAAAAAUUACAGAAAAGGAGGACCUCUACAAUAAAGGCCCUAUUUUUGUAAAGAUUCUAUGAAGUCUAACCAUACUAUCUUCAUCCUUUACAACCUGUAGAUUACACCAAAAGCCAUAAAAAAUUUGUAUCUAAGCUGCUGUAUAAUAACUUUUUUCCCUUCAAAGCAUCUCACAUUUCUUGGGAGAUGCAUUCUACGAAUGAGAAAUGAACAAAUUAGCUAAAAAACUAUUAUUUGCUAAGUUGCUCGGACUUGGGUGUGGGUGUCCAAUACGGGUGUGGAUCCAGAGGUUGGAUCCUUCAUGAUCUAAAUUUUAAGAUUCAGGGGUACGGAUCUAGGCAUGGAUACGGGUGCCGGGAUUUGGCUAAAAAUAAUUCAAAUAUAAAAAAUAGAGUUAUGAAAAUAUGCCUAAACUAUUGUGGACUAUUUGGAAGGAAAGGUAUGCACGAAUUUUCGAGAGCAAGUUCGAAUAUGUAAUUAUUAUCAAGUACAAAUGCAUUUCUUUACUGAAUAUUAUUAGAAAUCAGUGUAUUUGUCUUGAAAUUUCUCUAUCGAUUUUGGUCAAAGUACCGAGAAAUCAUUUGACCAUAUCUGGUAUGGAUCCCACACCCCACACCCACACCUACGUCGUGUCGACAUGGGUGCGGCAUUGAAAGUGAAGAGGCCACACAACUUAGAGUAUUUGUAAGGUAAUAGUGAUGAUAUAUAAGUAUAUCAGAUCAUGCUUGCCUUUUUUUUUUGGCAGCUUUAAGCCUUCUAUGGUGGAGUCCUAUUAACUUUCUGGUUCAAUUUGUAAUAUAUUUUGUAGGCACAGAGAAGAAGAUGACAAAUGGGAGCAUGAUCUUUACGAGCGUCAUGAACUUCCGGGAUCAAGUACGGUGUUGUUUGAUACCAUUAGAUUCAGUUAGAUAUUACUUAUUCAUUAGGAAAUAUACUUGUGAUUGCUCCACUAAAAUUUUUGACAUCUUUUAUGGGCAUUCACAGGCCAGAGAAUUGGUGCUAAGGAUCUUCGUCUAAAACUCCAAAAGAAAAGUAUCCAACAAGCUACUCAAAGUGUUAAAGGUUCUGUCUCUGGAGGUAUGCGGGAUCUGCGUGAAAAGCUUUCUGGUACUGUAUACUCACAAAAAGUGGAAAAUGAUCCCCCCAAAGCAAAGCUGAAGGUGGCUCCUGAAAUAAGUAAACCUGUCAGGAGAAGUAGCAUAACUGAAGCUCCUGCCAUGGAGACAAAAAAAAUUGCCAGUACAGUUACAAAGAAGAAGUCCCAGCAAAAGGCAAGAUCUCCUUACUCAGAUUUGUUUCACCAUUAAGCUCCUUGUCAAUAGCAUUACUUCUUUAUCAAAUGAUGAUAUUGCCAAUAAAAUGUGAGCAGACACAGCCUGACCCCCAGUAAGAAAAGGAGAUAAACUUUCAGAAUUUUCCCACACAGAAGGGUAAUAGAGUCUCUAGACAAAAGUAACAUGUGGCAUGAAUUACAUGAUACCAUCUUCCUUACUUUCAGUUCUUUAGUUAUUAACUCCUUACAUUUUGUUGCUGGUUCUUGUUAUUUGUUCAGUGGGUCAGUUUCCUGCUUGGAACAAUGUCAUGGCAAUAGGGUUUUAUAGUACGCCCUGCAUUUCAAUUUGCAUGACCCUGUUUGCCUGGCCACAUAGUUUAGAAUGAAAGAAAGACUAUGAACUUUUGAAACUUGUGGUCUUAAACAUGUCAUAACAUUUGUGUGGUUGUAAGACUUUUGAAACUUCUAAUCUUAAAUAUGGCAUAACAUUUGUGUGGCUAUAGAACUGUCAUUCAGGAUAAAUGGGUAGUAUCAAGUGAAAUUGUUUUCAAGUUUAGAAUGUGGUUAUUCUUUUUUGUACAUACUAAACAAAAAGGGAAAUAGUGUCACAUGAGCUAGAACGGAUGGGGUAUUAGGAUACUAUACAAUGUAAUACAUGACCAAUAUAAACCCUUUUUCGUUGGUAAGUUCAUUUUGUAAUCAAAUUAUUCGGUAUGACUCAUAGCUAUGUCCACUUCCCUGCUGGAUUUUUUUAUUUUUCUGGUUUAUGGAAUCAAACCAGUGAAAGAACUCUCUUAAGAAAACACCUUUUCUUCUGCACUUGGUUCAUUCCUAUAAACUAAGACUACUUAGAACUGAAUCAAGGUCAUGCACACAGUUAUCUAGAAGAUUGACACCUACUGGCUGUUUAUUUCCAGGGUUGAGUUUUGUGAAUACAACAACAUACACACUGUAGUCCCACAAGUGGGGCCUGGGGAGGAUGGGGUUUUAUGCAGACCUUAUCCCUACCUCUGUGGAGGUUGAGAAUUUUUAUUUCUAAGUGCUUCUUGGUUGGUCCUUAUAUCCUUGAGAAAUUGUAUAGAAAUUUGUUUAUUCCAGUUUGAUAGAGGGAGCUUUUCUGGGAAUAUACCUUUGAUUUUGUUGUGUAUGCAUAUGCUGUGGCUAGGACUCAGCUCUGCUCACUGGACUCCUUAAUAUGACUGGAGUAAUUGUGUCCAUGCAACAUAUGCAUAGGGAAAAUCAACUCAACCUUUCUGAAUAUCAGUCACUGAGACAUGUCAUGCCUUUGUGCUAGCUGCGCUUUGUAUAGUGAUCUUUCCUCUCUUAAACCAGCUAAUCAAAUGGAAGCCGGAGAGAUUCUUGGUAAUAUAGAUGAACCUGGGAAUAUGCUUGGUCGACAUAAGGUAAGAUACUUAAAGUAGAGUACCUAGAUUCCCAUGGAUGAUAUAUUCUUGUGCACGUAUGACAUUUGCCUCGACUUUGUAGUGCUACUAGAGCACCACAGUCAGGGUUGUACUCUUCAACAUGUAGGGGUUGAUGGUUGAAAGAGUGGUAGCCAGACUUUUUUACUUAUCAAUUCAAAAUUAGAAGCCAUUAAUUUUUUUAAUGUCAAUUGACAUAUCAACAAGUAGCUUUUUCAAAGGAUUAAGCAAGCUUUAUUCUUAAUGUAUGAGUGAAAAUUUUGGCUGCUAUAUCAGGAUCAAUGGCAGGUUGGAUCCACCAAAAAGACUUGUGCUUCUCUAGCAUCAGACCCUUAGUAUGGGAAAAGGAAAAGGAAGAUAUGGGAAACCAAACCAGUUUGCAUAUAGUAGGUGAUUUGGAGAAAGAGAACGUACUCAAAAUGAAGUAGAAUAACAUUUCACUUUUGGCCUUUUGGCAUAGUAUGCAGGAUGUUUUUAUGUAGAUAGGUCUAUAGAUUUUCUCGGUCUCCUCCCUGAUUAGAGGUGUAACUGAGCUUUUCGCAACUACUACAAAUAUUAACUCCCAACACUUUCUUAGUGCCUUUUUUUCUUAAAUAUAAAUUUUUACUUACCAUUUCAACGGGGAAAAAGAAAAAAGAAAAUAUAAUUUUUUUUUUUUUUUUGAUAAAGAAAAAUAUAAUUUUUUUUUUUGAAAUUGCUAACAUUGCUAAUUAAAAGCACUAGGGCAGUGUGAGAGCCAUAUAUACAGGGGAGAUUCCCACAGCCAACAAAAAUCUAAAAUCAAUUAUAGUUUCCCUAUGAAGUCUAUCAAAGAAACCUCCUCUAAAAAGCUCUCUUUACACCAAAAGUGAAACAAAAGUAAACACUUCAUCUUAAUGUCUUGCACAUGACUACCCCUAUCUUCAAAAACUCCGGAGUUCCUCUUUCCAAAUUGUCCUCCAUAUGCAAGCAUGAAUCAAUCUCCACCAUUUCUUCUGUCUUAAGGCCUACUUUGUUUUCAUUAAGAUUAAGAUGUCUGGAUUUGAAUGCAAAUCUGAAUGGUUAAGAUGUUGUCUCUAUAUCUAAACACGGAAUGAGUAAGAAAAUUUGUUUUUCAACAUCUAGAUAUGCAUAAUUAUUUAGUUGUGAACAUAAUAAAUAUACAAUUCAAAUAAAAUUUUAAUUUAAUAUUAGAAAAAAUAUUAAUUUAAUAAAAUAAAAUCAUUAUUUGAUUAAAAAAUGAAACAUUUAUGUUCGCUAGUGAUGGUGGAGAUGAUUUGUAGUGGUGGUGGUAGUGGUAGUGAUUGGUGUUAGUGGCUAGCAAUGGUGGUGGUGAAAGCUGUGAUGGUACAAGUGGUUGGUAUUGUAGUACUAUUAUGAUGGUGGCGAUUGGUAGUAGUGGUGGUGGUAGAGUUAGUAGUUGGGUGGUGACUGAAGAAUGUGGUGGUAGUUGGCGGUGGUUCUAGUUGUGGUGGAGGUGGUUAUAAUAAGGAUUGACCACAAUGGUGGUAGUGGCUGAUGGUGGUGGUGCUGAAGAAUGUGUGUGGUGGUUAACAAAGUGUUGGUGAUAGUUGGCGGUAGUGCUAGUUGUGAUGGUGUAGUUGGCUGGUAGUAGGUAUUGGCCAUUGUGGUAUUAGUGGUUGAUAGUGGUGGUGGAGAUGGUGACAAUGUAUAUAGUAUAAUGACGAAGGUGGUAGAUGUGAUGGCGGGUGGCAAUAGUGGUUGACAACGGUGUUGGUAGCUAGUGGUGGUUGUGAUGACAUAGGUGGUUAGUGGUGAUGGCAGGUGAUUAUGGAUAGAGUGGUGGUGAAUAUUAUAAUGCACACAAAUACCUCUUAAUGAUAUUAAGACUUAGUUCAAGAUCUUAAUGAUUAAGACCUAUUCAGACCAAUUAAGUACUUCAAUCUUAAUGAAAACAAAUGCACUUAAUGGCCUAAUUCAGACCUCCAUUAAAUGCUAACAAAUGAGGCCUAACUAUUUCCCCCAAACUGUUCCAGCUUUUAAGAAGAUCAACAGUAUUUUUAGGCACACACCGCUUGAUCCCCACAACAUCGAGUAAUAGUUGCCUAGUAAAAGAGAAAUGAAGUACAAAUGGCUAUUAGUUUCAGUGUCAAAAAAUGGCUAUUAGUUUCAGUGUCGAAAAAAAUGGCUAUUAGUUUCUGUGGUUGUCGCGCAAAACAAACAUCUGGAGCAUAGUUGGAGCCCCAUUUUUCUCAGCCUUUCUUGAGUCAAAACUGCCCGUCUCGCUAGUCGCCACCAACUAAGUGAAACAGAAAACCUAUGUAGGGGCAUUUGUUUUCCAAAUUGGCUUCCAUGGACAGCCAUCAAUCUGUUGGACACAGUUGCCGAUUAUCAGAUUGGCAGACUUGACUGGGAAAUUCCCAUCUCUAUUAUGAUUCCACUGCACCUCUGCAUCUGUUAACCCCCUGAAAUUCCUCCAGAGUCUUUAAGAACUCCAUUGUUCCUUCAAUUUCCCAAUCAUUUAGAGCCCUCUAAAAGGUAAUGUUCCACCAUGGCAUCUCCUUAACAGUGUUGUCAAAAGCAAAAAGCACAAAAGAGCUCUAAGGUCCGUCGAUGCUUUAAGUGCAAAACUUUGCGCAAAUAAAGCAUGGGAUUUAAUGAAAAAAGGCGCAAAGGGAGAAAAAAUACAAAUAUAUAUUUACUCCCAAGACUUAUUGAGAAAUAAUUACUAUAAUGUGAAAUAACAACUGCUUUGUGUCAUCUCUUCAGAAGAGGUUCAUUGGCAAGGACAAGUAUGUCUUAGAACCUUGAUGACGACACUGAAGCGCACAUUGAGCAAGGCGAAGCGCUCAACACGUUUUGAACCUUGUUUCAGGGUUUAAGCGCACCUUUGGUAACAUUGCUCCUUAAUUGUGGGUAAAUAAGCAUAUGGGUGAUUGAGAUACUGAACAAAUCAGGGAAAAGAUCUUGCAAAUACGCAUGCCCUAGCCAGUUGUCUGUAUAUAGAACAAGGUCUUUCUACCAUUAUCAACCUAGAUGCUUGAGUUCUCUAAAAACAAAUCCCAGUGUUGUCUAAUGGAUCUGCACACCCCUAUAGUCCAUAAGGGUUGUUAACAUGAAGUGUGAACCACAACCUUUCCUGACCAUACUUGUCACAAAUUACCCUUCUCGAUAAGCUAUUUUCUUCCAUAUUAUACCUGCAUAGCCAUUUCAUCAAAAGACUAGUAUUUUGAGCAUUUCAAUCCCUAAUUCUCAGGCCUCCUUUUGAUUUGGUAGUGAUUAGAGACUUCCACUAGACCAGGUGCAUAACUUGUUUGUUCUUGUUUCUUUGCCAAAUGAAAUUUCUCCUUAAAGCAUCAAUUCUAUCCCUUGCCUGGAAAGGGGAACAAAGACAUCACAUAAGUUGGUAAAGCAUCCAACAUACUAUUAACCAAAAUAACUCUACCACGAAAGAUAAAUAAUACUGAUUUGUCCAGGUAGCCAGUCUCUUCUCACAUCUUUCAAUCACUUUAUUCCAUAUUUCAAUGACUUUGUUUUGGAAACCUAAAGAGAGACCCAAAUAUACUGUUGGUAGGGUCCCCCAGCUCACAUCCCAAAAGUGCUGCCAAUGACUGGAAAUUGUCAGCCACAUCAAUUAGAAAACGGAAGCAGGACAAAUAUACCAUCACCAAUAGUAUGCCAAUACCCUCCGUUAUACUUAAAGAUUGUAUACACCCUUACCAUCAAUCUUUUGGGUUGUGUAUACCCUUAAAGCUAACGGAUGGACACGUGGCUUAAUCUCAAUAAUUUACCCUAUUUUAUAUAAAAAAAUUUAUCCAAAAUUAAAAAACCCAUCUUUUUUUUUCAAACCCACCCCACCCACAACCAAAAUAAGAUAACCCUUCAUCUUUUUUUGUAAUGGAUCAUCACUGAUCCCUUGCUGACCAAAAAAUUAAACAAACCUUCAUCUUCAAGAAUGAAGCCAGUGCAUCCUCCCAAAAGUUUCAGACAAAAACAGUGCACCAACCCCUUUCAACAACACAAAUUGAUCAUGAAGGUAAAAAUCUUAACAUGAAAUGUAAGGGGGUUGAACAAUGAGGAUAAAAGGAGACUAAAUCCUUAGUUCAUCAGUGGGGAGCAUACAUCUAUGAAUUCAUAGAAACUUAAUUAUGGGGGACAGUGGAAGAAUAUUUUCAGCAACUUGGGGGAAACAGAUGGGUUGGAGGGGUAUGGAUGGACUCCAUUGGUAGAAGUGGUGGAAUCAUUGUAUUAUGGGACAAGAGGGAAUGGAAAGGGGAGCUCAUCGACAGUGGCAGUCAGAUGCUCACUUGUAAACUAUCUGGGAUCAGCCAAGACUUGACUUGGUAUCUUACUGUUGUAUAUUCAUAGUGUGACAGAAAAGAAAGAGAAGAAUUGUGGUGGGAGAUCUCAGCUAUUAGAGGAAUAUGUGAAGGGCCCUGGGUGAUUUCUGGGGACUUUAAUGUAUCCAGAUUUCCCUCUGAAAGGACAAACUAUAACAGAAUAACCAGAGCCAUGGCUGAUUUCAACCAAUGCAUAAAUGAUCUUGAGUUACUGGAUCCACCUCUCUCCGGAGGUUAUACAUGGAGAAGAGGUCAAAAUCACAGUUGUGCCACAAGAAUAGAUAGAUUCUUGCUCUCGUCCUAAUGGAAUAAGAGUUUCUCCAAAAUCAGCCCAAGUGUUCUCCCACAACUUGGUUCGGACCAUAACUCCAUCCUGCUAUCCUGUGGUAAUUGGAAAGACAGGAAAUCAUAUUUCAAAUUUGAUAAUCGGUGGCUUAAGGAGGAAGGAUUCAUAGACAAAGUGAAAGAAUGGUGGAGCAGCUUCAAUGCCACUGGCUGACUUGAUUUUCAGUUGGCUAAGCUUUGUCAAUUGAAAGUCAAGAUCAAAGAAUGGAGCAAAACCAACAAGAACAACUGGAAGGAAAGGAAAGAUUAGAUUCUAUCAUAAGUGGGAAAUCUGGAAUCCAUUCAGGAUCUCAGACUUUUGACAGAUGAUGAACAGUUGCAGAAAAUUCAGCUGGCUAUGGAGUUUGAAAAGGUGUCCAGAAAUGAGGAAAUUGCUGGAGGUAGAGAUCCAGGGUACAAUGGGUCAAAAAUGGUGACAAAAACACCAAGUACUUCCACGGAAUGGCCAAUGCUCACAGAAGAUUCAACUCCAUUGACAUCCUCAAAGUCGAGGGGGCAGAAGUUACUGAUCCUGAAGAAAUAAAAAUUCCAUAGUGAGGUUCUAUCAGGAACUCUACAAGGAGUCUGAGAAUCGGAGACCUGAUUUCACACUCCAAGGGAAUACCAGGAUCUCCACUGUAGAGCAGGUGUGGCCGGAAAGACAACUUGAAGAGGAUGAAAUAUUAUAGGGGCUUAAACAGUGUGCCAUUGAUAAGGCCCCAGGCCCUGAUGGAUUCCCAAUGUCAUUCUUCAUUGCUUUCUGGGAAAUGUUGAAGUCAGAUAUACUCCUCACCCUAUGGUGUUGGCCACUGGCCAGAUUCAAAAAGGGGACUUCCCCAUGCCUUGUCACUUGGUCAUCAACUCUAGGGGCUAAUUUAUAUGCAAAAUAUGGCCACGUGAAUCCAUUUUGUCUCCGUAAAAUAAGGUAUUUUAUGUAUGUAUGUUUUAAAAUUGGUAUAAUAUAAUAUUCUAGGAAGUUACCCUUGUCUCAAAAAAUAAAAUAAAAUAUAAUAUUCUGGCACCCACGCUACAAGAAGGCCAAAAGGUGCACUUAGUUGGAUGUUGAGUUAUUCACCAUGAGGACUAGGGAUCAAUUCCCACUUAAUACAUUGUUUCCCUUUCUUUUAGUGGUGCACCCAUGCUCAAGAAAUUCUAGGUUCGCCUCUGAAUUGUCAAAGCAUAAAAGGUUUUGAGGGCUAGGUAUCAGUUCCCACUUACUAAAUUUUUCUCAGUGGUGCACCCAUGAUCUAGAAAUCCUAGAUUCACCCCUGAAUUUAACUCUUUAUCUCCUACAAAAACUGAUUUCGACACACACCUUUCAUCAGAAUAGGGUGAGUCUCUUACUAUCUCCAAAACACUGUGAAACUUCUCCAAAAUAGCGAUUAGGGUUCUGGUUGAAAUUGCCUUCAUCUGGCCCAGUGACUUUCAUCACCGGAGGGCUUUCACACCAUAUCUGCAUUUCAAAGCUCUGCUCGAUCUCGACACUACUCGGAUUCUUCUCCAGAGAACCUUUUUAUUUCAGGUGAUGUUUUAGAAGAGUAUCUUCUUCCGUUUCUAUCCCUCCACAAUUCCCCCCUAUUUCCUUGAUAAGGUGGUUUUAUGCAGGUGGCAUCCUCAAGCUGAAAUUUAAUGUGGUCUAUUUCCUAGGGAUUGACGUAGUGUUUUUUUGUUUGGAGCAAAAUUUACUGAAAUUUUCUUUCAGAAAAUUAAAAGAAAAAAUAAAAGCCUAUCAUAGUUUGGAAAGAGUAAUAUGGACUGACAACCUAGUACUUUUUGUAUCUCAUGGAGUUUGCACAUAAAGGAAGCAAUACAUCAUAUUCCUCAUACAUGUCCAAAGUUGUCCUUGAUUACAAACAACAAUUAUAUAUUGAAAAGCCUGCAUUGAGAAGAAAUGUUUGAAAUAAAAAUCAUGUCAAUCUAGUCCAGAAAUCACAAAAAUCACUGAUUCUGAUCCAAAAGUACUAUUUAAGUGUCUAAUUCAAAUUAAUGAAUAAAUUUUGUCAUGCUACAUUUUAAAUUACUAUUUACAAUCACUAAUAUAUCAUUUUGUCAAGUAGAUUCAAUUUUUUUCAGAACAGUGGUGUCCUGGCCAGUUUCACAUGCCUACACUAUUCUACUAGAUACCUGCUACCUUCCCCUGGUGCAGAUAUCAAGUAAAUCUCCCCCACCAAGGCUUUGGCAUAUGGGAAGAAAUCACUAAAAGCUGUCUCCCUUGGUUUUCAUCCACUUUAUUGCCGUCGACCUCGAGGCCAUGGCCUUUGGUGCUUUGCCUGUUUGUUAGUUAUAUUCAUUAUUUCAUGCUACCCUCAUCAGGUGGGAAUCUUGGUGCACGACUUGGGUCUAAUAAGUGUUUUCUAAACCUAAGUGCUCGAUGUACACUGCACUUACCUUGAAGGUUACGUCUCUGUAAUUCAGUCCAGCUUUUAACAACAUUGUGGCAUGCACCACAGGUGUGAACUUAUGUCCAAAGUUUAUCCCCAACUCGUUUGUGAAUUUCAUUGUCUAGUCAAAUCCCACACCUUUCAUGCUCGCAUUUGGCAACUCCACUUUCGUCUGUGCUGGUUUACAGUAGAAGCAGGAAUUAAACUAGAACUGUUAUUGUUAUCUAUAAGACUUCAUAUAGAUCCUAUGAUUUCUUUCUAGUCUUACCAUUCAACGUCUUUCAACACACUUUCACAUGUUUUGCAGCAUUUUCAUUGCUACCUUAAUGCUGUUUAGUGAGAUUAUGUGUGGUGAGCGUAUUGCAUUUGAUCUGCACAUCCCAUAUUUCUUUAGCUUCUUUAAUUUUUCAUGUGCAAUUAGACCUUCUGAUCUGCAUUUCUUACUACUGUGUAAUCGGUGGUUGUGGCUGUCGGUGCUCAUUCUACUCGUCUCAGGACUCUGGUUCUUUACCCUGAUGUUAUCAGCUAAUCACAUAAUAAACAAAAACGGGUGAAAACUACUCAAGCAUGCUCAUUUGCUAUUCCAGUGUACACUGUGGACUGCUCUUAUAUAUAAAGGUUUAUACAUUUGGUGCAGGCAGAAUCAGUGGAUAAUUUUCUACAGUCAUUGGGUCUUGAGAAGUAUGCUAUUACAUUUCAAGCUGAAGAAGUAUGUAAAUCACUGCUGCUCUUUCCUUCUUAAUUUAGUUUGAAGUCCUGCAGCAUUUCACCUUUUCCCUGUUCUUUUCUUGCAGGUUGAUAUGGCUGCUCUUGUGCACAUGACAGAUGAAGAUCUCAAAGCUAUAGGAAUACCAAUGGUAAGUAUCAUAAUUUUGUAUGAGAAUUCAUUUGAAGAUUGUGACUUUCUGUUUUUCAUUUGAAGGCAGUGGUCUUUUCUAUUACGUGCUGAUUGAAAGCUUUAUUCCGUUUUGGUUGUUUCAGGGUCCAAGGAAGAAGAUAAUAUUAGCACUGGAGACUAGAAUCUGAUAAUUGGGGAUAAUCUUCCUUUGCUGGGGUUGUUUUUCAAUGGUCUACCAUCCAACUAGUCAGAAGGCGGCUUGUGUUUUAACUGUACAAGUCUCUUUCUGGGAUUAAUUUCUUUUAAGUGUUUUCUUUUUCAAUUUUUGGGUUUUAUCAAAGUCAAGUGUGGUUAAUUAGAGCUCUCAACAUGGGAACAUUUAAUGAUGAGCUAACACCCUUGAAGGGCAUAUAAUUUAAUGGCUUUGUUGGUUGCUUUGCUUGUAACUUGGAAACCAAAUUUUGCUGUUUCAUCCCUCAUCUAGCUUUACAUUUUAGUUUUGUAUCACUAUUAUCUCUUCACUUCUCCAAAAGAUAAAUUUAUAUAUUAUUUUACUGUGAAGUCUAUGUUUUCCUGUCAAAAAAAUCACAUAAAUAAUGUGUUUGAGAUGCUAAUUUAUAAUACAUGAAUCUAUUAUUUUUACAUACAAGAUAUAAUUUUUAAUUACAGAACACAAUAAAUUAAUUUGGGCACAUUUUCUUUUGCUGAAUUGUAUACAAAAAAAAAAAAAAAAAUACAAUUUGAGAAAUUCAAAUUAAAUAUACAAACAAAAUUUCAAUUUCAAAUUAAUUUGAUUUGAAAUUAUGAUUCUAUAUCACAUAUCCAAAUGAUCCGUUAGUGUUGUUUGAUACUCCCUCCAUUUCAUAUUAAUUGAAUUGUUGAGUCAUUUUUCAUUUUUUAAAUUAACUUAAUUGUUCAGUUUUCAAGACUACAUUUAGAGUGUUCUUUCAAUUUUACCCUUAAUUAGUUAAUAUUGGAAUUAGUGAUUAAUUAAUAUUUAGUUAGUUUAAUCAGAAAUUUGACAAUAAUUAAUAAGGGUAAAAAUGAAAAACUAUGUUCAAUUUAUGUCUUAAUCUACCUUUUUUAAAGGGUGUAAAACACCUCAAAAAUUCAAUUAAUAUGGAAUGAAGGGAGUAAUUACUAUCAAAUCUAUGUUUUUAGACUGGCUAAUUUGUAAGUGCAUGUACGUAAGCGACUUUGGUUACUUUGAUGUGUUCUAUGAACACAUUUAAGCAAAUGAAUUGAUUCAAAUUAACAUAACAAAUAGAGACAAAUUUGAAAUUUAAACUUUAUGAGUUGAACAGUCAAGGAUCUUAGCAUUGAGCUAAUUGUAUUUUUAAAGUUAUGAAUUUAGAUAUCUCAUUUGUUGCAAUUUUAAUAAAUUCUUAUUUAUGAAGUUUUUGCUUCACAUAAAAAAUAUUAGAUUCAAGAUAAAGUCGACGUCUCAACUCUACUUUUGGCUCUAACAGGAAUGUUUCACUUUAGGAUUCAAGUGUUGUCUAUCAAAAGUAAUCUUAUCUCAAAUAUUUUAAAUUUAAAACGUAUAAUUAAAGAUAUAAGAUACAUAAUCGCUCACCUACCACCAAAAAUGAUAGCAAUACUUCAAAUAUAUGAAGUAGAAAACUUACGCAAUAAAGAUUUUCUUAGCAAUUAGAAUCGAUUUAGGGAACUUCUAAAAUUUACGUAUUUUAAAACGUGUAUUCGAAUUCUUUAUAGUUAUAGCAGUUUGUGUUUAAGUAAAGAUUUAAGUUCUUUUAUUAGUAUUAGAGUAGUAGUUUGCGUUUAUUCAAAAUUUCCCCAAAAAAAAAAGAACUUGAGAAAAACAAAUUUACGUAAAAAAUAUGUACAAAUUUACAUUAUGAUAAAUUUAAUAAUAACUUUUAGUUCUUUAUUACUCUUAGAGAUUUUAGUUUAGUAAAAUUAGAUUCACUCCCGCCAUAGGAUAAAACAUGUGUUUAUCAAAAUAUUUAUUACUCCCUCUAUUGCUUUUACUUGUCAAUUAUUUCUAAGAUAGACUUUUAUUUUUACUUGUCAUUUUUGACCUAUCAAGAAAAGAUAAUUAUUUUUUUCCAUAUUUUACCCUCGACAUUAAAUACUUAUUCUACAUAUCAUUUUUCAAGACCUAAUACUAAACAACAUUUAAUAGGAAUAGUUUGAUAAAAUACAUAUAUCAGUAAUUGUUUUCUUAAGGGGUGUACCAAGUCAAACAACGACAAGUAAAAAUAAACGGAGAGAGUAUUAUUAAAUUAUAAUUAAAUAAUAUAUGCUUAUUUUAUUUUUAACAAUUAAAAGUUAUUUUAUUUAGUGUACAUCACAAAUGUAGAUAAAUAUUGUGGUCCUAUACUACGUUCAAUUAAAAAAAAAAAUUAAAAAAAAUUAAAAUGAAGAAAAUAUAAUCAAUUAUAUGGCAUGGCGGUUGGUCAAGAUAAGUGAUAAGUGACAGUUUAUCAAUCUCCAAUACAUUCAAUUCUUAUAUUAUAAAUAUAACCCAAUGUUUGCAUCAAUUUCUUCAUCCUUUAAUUAAUAUAACUAAGCUUUGAAGAAAAAAAAUGAUGGGUUUCAAGGCAUUUUUAUUUCUUGGCAUUUUUUUGGCUAUCUUUUCAAUGAUAAGCUUUGAGGUUGUAGCUAGAGAGUUGGCUGAGACCCGUAAGAUUAUUUUUUCCUUUUACUAUUUAUUUCUUUGAAAUAGUGGAUUUCUUAUCUAAUUAUUUGAUAUAUAUAUGAAUGUAAUGCUAAUUUUUAAAUUUCACAUUUGAUAUUUGUAGCAAUGAAAUUGGAUUAUAAGAAUGAUGUACACGAUGAUGGAUAUAAUGACAUAGACGGAUAUCUAGGUGAUAGACGUGGCGAAUAUAAGAAUGGAUAUAAAUUUCCUGGUGGCAGAUAUUAUCCUCCACAUGGUAGUGGAUAUAAACCCCCAUAUGGUGAUUAUAACAACGCAUAUAAACCUCCACAUGGUGAAUUUAACAACGGAUAUAAAUAUCCUGGGUGGGGAUAUAACACUCCACGUGACAGAUAUAAUCCUCCCAGUGAUGAAUAUAAGCCCCCACAUGGUGAAUAUAACAAUGGAUAUAAAUCUCCUGGUGGUGAAUAUAAACCUCCACAUGAUGAAUAUAACAACGGAUAUAAGCCUCCAAGUGGCGAAUAUAAGCCCCCACGUGGUGAAUAUAACAAUGGAUAUAAAUCUCCUGGUGGUGAAUAUGAACCUCUACAUGAUGAAUAUAACAAUGGAUAUAAGCCUCCAAAUGGCGAAUAUAAGCCCCCAUAUGAUAAAUAUAAGCCCCCACAUGGUGAAUAUAAUGGAUAUAAACAACAUGGUGAUGGAUAUAAAUCUCCUGGUGGUGAAUAUGAACCUCCACAUGAUGAAUAUAACAAUGGAUAUAAGCCUUCAAGUGACAGUUAUAAGCCCCCACAUGACGGAUACAACCCUCCAAGUGACGAACACAAUCCCCCACAUGACAAGUAUAAACCCCCAUUUGGCGAAUAUAACCCUCCAGGUGGAGGCCAUGAAUAAGUCACUAGCCAAUUGCCUCACAACCAAUCUAUCAUGUAAUAUUACAAAAUCGUUAAGCAUAUAUAGUGGCAAGAUAUAUAAUAAUAAUAGUCUUUCUACUCUAAACCUUGCAAUAAAAAUGGUAUGAAUAAAACGUCAUUCAGUUCAUAUGUAUGGUUGGUCAUGUAAUAAUUUCUUAUACAAUAUAAUACACUAUAUUGUGAUAACAUAUUUUCAUAAUGCAUGUUUUUUUUUAAUAUGUUGUACGUUCAUAAUGCAUAUUUUUUUAGUAUGUUGUACGUUAUUGAUGAUGAACAUAUGUUUCUUCUUAUUUCAUAACUUAUUAUUAAACUACUCCCCAUCCCUAAUUAUAUGAUGCUUUUCGCUUCUAACUUUUUAAAAUAUUUUUUUUUCAUCAUUUGACGUUAGAAGACUAGUAAUUUAUAGUACAUUGGACGAACAAAUACACUUCCCCUUCUCCAACCCCUCCGAAUUCAGAAUACAAUCUACCCUAAUAAGAUGAAAAGACAAGAAAUUAUAAGAGCCCUCGUGUUUUUUUAGAUUGUGUUGGAAUUGUUGGGAAAUGAAACUAAUUAAACUGAUAAUUUGUUGUUCAAUGAUAAUUGUGAUGUAUCUGACGAUGAAUUUUUUUAAAUUUUACAUCGUGAUGAAAGAGAAACAAAUUAUGUAAUGGAAGAAGAGAGAAUCGUAAAGUUUGUAAAACAAUCUGGGAGAAAGUGAAAGUCAAGGAAAUAUCAUCAACAAUCAUGAUUUCACACGUACAUACUUUUUUUAAAAAUUGUGUUUUGUAUGAGUUUUACUGCUAUAUUUGAAAAAAAGGUAAACUAUUGUUAUAUAGGUGUUAUUUUAUUUUUUAAAAUGGUAUACUUGUGUUUUUUUUCCCAUUUUCCCAACUAAAUAAAACUACACUCUCACAUAUUGUCUCCCGUAUUUACCUUGUUUGGAUGGUUGUUAUCAUUGUAUUGUAUUUUUAAUUUAAAUACAAUGUUUGUUUUGAUGGUUACUUAAAUUCUAUUGUAUCGUAUUGUAUUGUUUAAACUCAUAGUUAGGUAACGAAGAAAAGACCUAUUUUAUGUAACGAUCGAUUUGGUGUGAUCACAUUGUUACCUCACUAUUUUCUUUUCAUUUGGUCUUUAUUUAUUAUUUAACUAGUCCUGGGCACGUGUGUUGCACGUGUGUCUCAUGCUAAAUUGUGUGGAGUUGUUAUAACGAUAUAUGAUGUAAUUCUCAAUAAAAUGCGGAAAUCAAAAGACAAGAAAUUAAAGAUAACUAGAUAGACACACAAAGAGGAAAUCAAAAGCAACGUAAGGGUAUAUUAAACCCAAAGACCUCAGUCGAUAAAUCCUACAAUAGCACCUAACUCUUACGAAGACCUCAAGGGAAUCAAAUUCACCUUGCAACCCUCAUUUCUAAACAAUAGUCAACCAAAAGCUUAACCAAGCUCUCAACACUCAUACAUGAGUUUUCAAUCUUCAAUAUUCAAAAAAUAGUCUAAGGGUGUGUUUGGUAUGAAGGUUUCUCAUGUUUGGUUGGGUUAAAUGUUUUGGAAAAUAUUUUCCAAAUCAACUCAUUUUCCUCAAAUUCAAGGAAAAUGACUUCCCUUCACAAAUUAAGGAAAACAUUUUCCAAAACUUUUCUCCAACUUCAAAUUACAAUUUUAAUGUUGAAAAAAUUAAUUUUUUUUGUUGAAAAAAUUAAUUUAAAGCUUAUUUUAAAAAAACAUUUUUCAACUUCAAUUUUUUUUUAUUUUUUUACCCCACCCUCACCCCAACUCCCCCUCCCGCCAACCCCUACCCCCCACCCCAAAAAAUAAUAAUAAUUUAAUGUUUGUUUUUAAAAAAUAUUUCCAAUUUUAAAUUUUUUCACCCCACGCAACCCCUACCCGCGACCCCCCUCCUCCCCCACACAAGAACUUUGAAAAUAUUAUAAUUAGUGUGUGAUAAGUUGUACAAAAAUUGAAGAGAAAUACACAAGCUCAAACAAAUAACUUCAAUUAUGCAAUUCCUAUAAUAUAUCAAGUAUUCAAUUUGAUAAAAGUUUCUUUUGUUUAAUAUGUCACAACUCAUAAUUUAAAUGUCAAAUACGAUUUCAAAAAUAUUUUUUGUCUUAAGUUUUUCAUCUUCUUUUUAAGAAAUUGUAGUCGCCACCUUUUCACAUUUACAUGUGUAUUAAGAAGUUAUUGUCGAAUGAGAGUAGUGUUUUGCAAAAGUUAUAUAGAAAUUUGAUCAAUCUAUGUCUUCCUUAAGAUGGCUAGUAAAUGAUCAUUGUGCAAUAACUUGCAUAGUAAUUGAAGAGAAAAUAUACAAGUUCAAACCAAUGAAUGGUGAGUCUAUUCAAUCAAGAUUAUUAUCGGUAGAAGGUACAUCAUGCUGAAAUAUUGCUAUCAAAUGAAUUUCAAAAGUAAUAUUCAAACAAUUUUAAUUAUAUUUUUUUUUAAUAUAUCAAGUAUUCAACUUGAUAAAAGUUUUUUAAUAUGUCACAACACAUAAUUUAAGUGUCGCUUAUUGGUUCAAAAUAUUUCAUGUUCUAAAUUUUUUGUCUUCUUUCUAAGAAAAUGUAGCCUCCACCUUAUUACAAUCACAUAGAGGUCAAGGACUUGUUAUUGAAUGUGAAUUGUGUUUUAUAAAAAUUGCACAUAAAUUCGAUCAACACAUACCUUUCUUAUGAUAGCUAGUGGAUCAUUGUCAAUUUUUUGGUGUACACCUACAAAAAGAAUAGUUAUUAUUAGUGAUAAAAACAAUAAUUGCUCAAAUAUCUAAUCAAUGUAUAUAAAUCAUAAUUAUUAUAGGCACGUGUACCCCUUGCGUAAUUCAAAAUUAUUAGUUCUAUCAUAUGUGAAUUUAACAAAAAAAUAUUAGUUAAAAUAUGUAAAUUGAUUCCUAACCAAAAUUUACACAAACAAGAAUAUAUAGUUUCAUGAUACCCCAAGAAGUUAUAAUUAAAAACAAAGUAAUCUUACCUGAUUUGAUAUUUCCAUGACAAAUUUCUAUGUUGCAAGAGGUGAAAUAACUAUGAUACAAACGUUUGCGUACCCAAGUAAGAUGAACUUUCAACUAAUUAGAAAACAUAUAUGAAUAAGUCAAAUUAAAGACAAUAACUUAUAAUGUAAAUAGAAAAAUAGAGCAUAAGCAGAAGAAGAAAAAAGAGACACAAACAUAAAAUAAAUAUGAGAAAAUGUGCCUACACAAAGUAGGAUUGAUAAUCUAAUAAUUUGAUGAAUUGGAAUAGUUGUCUUGUGAUUUUUCACAAUAUAUAAACAAUUUAUAGCAUUUAGUAAAUGAAUAUAUUGUAUUGAAUUGAUCAAAAUAAUUUACUCCACAUUGAAUAUACCAAGUAACUUUUCCAAUUCUCCAUAUGUUUAUUACUACAAAGAGAUGUUUACUUUUUGCAUUACGAAUUGAAAGAUAACGCAUUUACAGAAAUUAAAUACACAUAGCUCCAUGUCUUUUAAUUUAUCUAGGUCAUUCAUUUGUUAGAUUAUUAUUUAUUUAUAUUUAUUAGAAGAUACACUUACUUUUUAGAAAAAAAAAACAUAAAUAGGAGUUAAAUAAAUGACAAAAUAUUAAUGAGUAUUUUCAUAUAUAUAUAUAUAUAUAUAUAUUCAAUAGCCUAAUGCAUUGAACUAAGUGUAUAUUUAUAUCCUUGUACAAUAUUAUCGUAGGAAUAAUAUUUGAUAGAAGGAUAUUGAUGUCAUUCAAUAUUUUAUGGACAUUUUGAUAAUUCAAUUUUUAAAAUAUUUUUGUUCCACUUAUAUAUAUACUUACUAUAUUUACUAAUUUAAUAGAAGUUUUAUUUCUCUUUUUUUAUGUGAAGAAAAAAUGACAAAUUAAUUUAUGAUUAUUAUUUAAUAUUUAAUUAUUAAAAUAUUUUAUAAUUUUUUUAUUUAGUAUAGGAGUAAAAUGGUAAUCCAACUUUAAUUUUUUGAGCUUUCUACUUUUCAUAAAUUUUUAUUAUUUAUUAUUUAUUAUUUAUUUAUGAUCAGAAGAUGAUAAGUUAGGAAAAUGAAGAGAUGUAGUUAUGAAGUUGAUUUUAAAUGAAAAAAUAAUUUUUAAAAUGAUUUUAAGAAAAUAAAUUAAUAGGUAAGGGGUAUUUUUGUAAUUCAACUUUUGAUUUAGAUUGUUCCCAUAUGGAACUUGGUUGAACAAGAAAAAUAGCAUGAUGCAAGAAAAUCCUACAAGGUAAAGGGUCGUAUCAAUAUAAUUUUCUUAUCUUCGUAGUUAUAUGAACUAGACCUCAUUUGUAAGAUUGCACUGAUAUGUUGUAUUUAUCUGCAUAAAUUUAAAUGUGUAUAAGCUUGUUAAACUAUUAGUAUCUAGACACGUGCUUUGCACGUGUAUUCAAUGUUAAUUUGUUCAAACUUUUUCAUUGAGAUGGAGGGAGUAUAUAAUAGUUAAAUAUAUUGGUUUUAAAAAAGGCAAGUUUAUUCUUACUAAAAUAAAGAAAUUAAAAUACAUAUCAAUUCUCUCUUUACAUAUAAAGUAGAAACAACUGCUAAAAGUAUAACAAGAAUAUUUGAAUGCUAAAAUUAAAAUAUUACAUGUCGGAAUAAUAAUAUGUGUCUAAACUUUCAUAUACAAUGAUACAUAAAUAUUGUGCAUUACAAUAAAUUUGUGUUGAACUUUGUUUAGUGAAGUUGAUGUCACUAACUAAUCGAACUCUAGACGCCAAUAGCUCUAGUUACUUCCCAUCCUCUCAAAUUGUUGCUUUCUCUUCAAGAACAAAAAAAAGAUGAAAUUAAUUAAUAAAUUAAAAUUAUGCAAGAGCCUAUAAAAAUGGUGAGGAAGAAUUCAAGAAUCCUUUCUUGUCUUUUUAUAGCUACUAGUGGGAAUUUAAUAUCACUGAAUUUAUAAAUCAAUACUUAAAAUAUAUCCGUCCUUAAAACUAAAACACUAUAUUAUCUUACAUACAAGAUUACAUAGUAACGAACAUUCAUAAUGUAAACGAAAAUGAAAAUUAUAAUAUGUUAUCGUUUAUCCAUAAUAACAUAAACAUAAAUUAAUGACUGUAAAAAAACAUACCAGAAUUUAUAACAAUAGAAUGAAAAAUAAAGGAAAAACUUGAGCCCACUGAAUGCAUCCCCUAAUGAAAAUUAUCCCCCUCUAGUACCCGAUGUUUAAAGGAAUAGAUUCUCUCAGGAUAGAACGAUUUUAUUCACUAGUGUAUUGAUACAAAAACAAUGGUGUCAGUAAGCCACUCAACAUGAGCAAAGUACACGAAUAUUUAAUUGUGUAGAAGAUGAAGAAGUAGUUCAGAAUUUUCGUUGUUUUAAAAUGAGAGGAAAUUCCUCUAUUUAUAGGCAACAAAGGGUAGUGUGAACAAAUGUAUAUUGUGCCUUAUCGGAAAGGUCACAACUAUUUGGAAAAAUUGCAACCCUUCGGAAAGGUCACAACCUUUCAUAAAAGUCACAACUUUUCAUAAAAGUCGCAACUGUUCAUAAAAGUCACAAUUUUUCAUGAAAGGCACAACUUUACAUAAAAGUCAGAACUUUUCGGGAAAGGGGAAGGCUAAUAUUGGAAAUAAACAAAUUAAAAAGGAAUUCAGGUUUGUGGUGGCGCCACGUAGAUGGGCCUAGGGUUCUCUUUUCUUUUUAUAUAUAUAUAUAUAUAUGAUUUUUCAAUUUGCAUUCAUUGAACCUUUUCUUUCAUUAGUUCUACAUUUAAUUAUUCAAUGCAACUCUUUCUAUUCUCCAAACUAUUUAUUUCUCCUAUUUAAUUAGUCUACAUUUAAUUAUUCAAUGCAACUCUUCCUAUUCUCCAAACUAUUGAGAAAUGAAUAGAGCACACUUAAAUUUGAUUAAUGGGUAAAUCAUUAAGGGCUACAUUUAAAUUGGACUUUUGAAUAUCUGCAGAUCCACAAAUCUCAUGUAAAUUUAAAUACAAUUACUACUAUAUUUCAAUUAGAUUAUGUAUUUUAUUUUAAUUAAAUAUAAGAGAGAAAUUGUAAUCUAACUUUAAACACUCAUUUUAUUUCUCUCCAUUUUUAUUCAUCUGGAUACAUUCACCUUAGAUUAAGUAUAAGGGUAAAAUUGUAAUCUAACUUUGAAGAUAGUUGUUUCCCACUUUUAGUAAUAUAUGAUAUGAUUUUAUUACUUUCUCGGAUUGGGAUUCCACUUUUUAUAGUUGAUAGUAGUAUUGUUGCCACAACCUAUGUAUACAUGUGGUAUAAUAGGUUGAUUUAUGAUGAAUUAGGCCUAACAAUUCCGCAUGAAUGUAAUUUUGGCGAUUAUACCUUUGGUAGUCUACACAAUGUUUCUCAUGUGUAUACAAUAAUGUAAUAUCUAAAGCAAGUAAUGUUAUAAGUGAAUAUUUAAAUAAUGAGAUUUUUAAACUGUGAUAUCAAUUUAUACUACAACAACAGUUGAGACUUGAGGAAAUGAUACUUGUUUUUUCCCUGUAGACUCAAGUCCUUAAAUCCAUGUUUCUGGUGGAACUGAAUAGUGUGUUCCCUACUAAUGUUAGGUUCUUAUUUUAGCUUGGGUUUGAAAUUGAAUUUUCAUUUUCCUAUUGGAGUAUUUAGUUUAUUAACUUUAUUUGUAUUGUUGUAGGUUCUAAUGUUGUCUUCUGACUUAAUGUGUUGUCCAGAAACACAACUUAUGCUCUGCCUGCAAACAAGAAUAUUCUACUGCCCCAGUAUCCUGUGGCAUGUUUGCUACGUGUUGUUUCAGUAUUUGGUGUGAGAUAUUAAGAAAUGAAGACGGAGUUGACGUAAAUUGAUGAGAACUACCGGAGAGAGGCCAGUUGCAAUAACUACAUCGUGUCUAUUAAAACCAUAUCCAUGGAUGAACAUAAUCUUAUGUUCUUCUUGGAGAGAAUAGCAGAAGAAAAAUAUAAUCAGGGAGACCUUUUGCUAGCCCAAGAUUUCUGCUAGCCCAAGAUCGUUAACUAUGAUUGGAGAAUUCAACUAAAGAAGAGGAAGCUAGAAAGGAGAACUUCGUUUAUGGAGGAAGACUCUUUUUUUUGGGUUGUUCUUAGGUUUUGGUUGUUCUUGCGUUACAUACAAAUGACUAAGGUCACCCCUAUUUAUACUUGUGUGGGAUGGUUCUAGAUAUUACAACAUCUAGACUAUUCUAUCUUUUACUACAAAUAUCUAACUCUCUAGAAUAUCUAGAUAUUUCUUCAAGGCAACUUCUCUAGAAUAUGUAGAUAUUUAUUUAAGAUAAUUAUUCUAGAUACUACACUAGACUAUUCUAGAAACUAUACUAGAAAAAUCUAUGAUAUUCUAAAAUCAACUUUAUCAUUUUUCACACUCCCCCUUAAAGUGAUUUUUGGAAACUACCCCACACUUGUUGUGGAAGAACUCAAACGAAGCUUUGAGCCACGUCUUGGUGAAAAUCUCAACAGUAUCUUUCGAACUCCUCUUGGUUCUUCAAAUGAUAAAGAUUCUUCAUCGUCAAUUGAUCCAUGUAGAUUAUCUCCUUGUUGAGUUUUCAGACUCCACCUUUCUCUUAACUUCCCGACAGUUAUAUUAUCCAGAAAAACACUAUCAAUUUCCUGUGAAGUCUCAACACCAACAUAUGAUCCACUGCCAUAUACUCUUAUCAUCUCCUCGAUAGAUUUUUUGGCAGCUUUAGAACUUUCAAAAAUCACAUUGUUUGUCUUUGAGACUUCAAUAUCAACUUUUUCUUCUAUUUGAUCUCUACUUUCUCCAUCUGCUUCCAGAAUUUACUAUGAGCCAUUAGUUGACCUUGAUAUUGCAGAUGAUCGACCAUAUAUUUCCUCUUCCAAUACAUCUUCCUCAAUGCUUUCUUUGUAAAGGUCGUCAUUAGCACAUGUAGUUUCAAAUACUACCUGUUCAAGAUCUUCUUCUUUGAUUUCUUUAAUAGCAGCUACCCUAUCACCACUGGAACAUCCUCAAGAGUUUCUUGCUUCUCCACGUGGUCGGCUGCAUUAUAUUUUGAAUCCUCGAUCCAAUCUCUUUCAAGGUUGUUUGAAACCAUAACAUCUAUUGCUCGAGCCUCAGCUACUAAACACUUUCCCCACUCUUCUUCUUCUUCUUCAGCAACAUUUUGAGCCAUAUUACUCUCCUUGUCUCGGCAAUAUCUUUUUAUGUGUCCUACAUUACCAUAUCGAUAGCAUCUAGGAGGCUUCUUAGCAUAAUAGUUAGAAGGCUCUUCCUUCUUUCUAGGUGAGCUUGAACCACCUGUAAUCCAAAGUGGAAGAUAUGUCUUACUUUUCCUUUAAAAUUCCUCUUGUCGGCUACAAGGGCAUUGCCUUCUCCAUCGACAAAUACACCAGCCAAUUGUUUGGCUAAUAGCUCCUGUGACGAUAACAAAUUCUCAAAUUCCUCCAAUGAUGGUUGUUGAUCCCAUCCUUGAAUUGAUGUCACAAAAGGAAUAUAUUCAAGUUUCAAACCACGAAUGACUAUUCGUCUCAUUCGUGCUUCAGAAAUAGCCUCCUCCGGAUUCAAUAAGCAUAUCUCAGAACAUAAGUUCUUAAUCUUUAAAAAAUACUUGGCGAUAGAAAGAUUACCUUGAGUGGUGUUAGCCAAUUCAUUCUCCAAUAUCUGCAGCCGAGCUUCAUUCUUCUUGUUGAACAAACGAUCGAGGGUCCUCCAUAUUUCAUGAGUUGAUUUACACCUUAUAAUAUGAUCAAAUUAAUCGGGGGAGAUUGUCCUCUUCAGAAUGAACUCCGCCUUCUCAUUAAUCUGCUUCCACUUCUUGUACGUACUGCUAUUUUCCGAUCCAUCAGCAGGAGGACUUGUGUUACUCCUGUCAACAACAUACCACAAAUUCUCUCCCACAAGGUAUGAUUCCAUACAUGUCUUCCACACCUUGUAAUUGGAUUGAUUCAACAACUCCAUCCCCAGUUCAUCAACACGGCUACUAAAAUUCAUAUAGACAAACCAGUUGAAUCUACCACUAACCCGAUCUUGAAAUAAAAUCUAGAAGCCAACGUAUGACUAUGGCUCUGAUACCAUGUAGAGAAUAGCAGAAGAAAAGUAUAAUUAGGGAGACCUUUUGCUAGCCCAAGAUCGUUAAUUAAGAUAAAAAAACAUUCUGCUAGCCCAAGAUCGUUAACUAAGAUCGGAGAAAUCAACUAAAGAAGAGGAAGUUAGAAAGGAGAACUUGUUUAUUGAAGAAUACUCUUUUAUUUGAGUUGUUCUUAGGUUUUGGUUGUUCUUGGGUUACAUACAAAUGACUAAGGCCACCCCUAUUUAUAUUUGUGUGAGAUGGUUCUAGAUAUUACAACAUCAUCUAGACUAUUCUAUCUUUUACUACAAAUAUCUAGCUCUCUAGAAUAUCUAGAUAUUUCUUCACGGCAACUUCGCUCCAGAAUGUUUCUUUAAGAUAAUUAUUCUAGAUACUACACUAGACUAUUCUAGAAACUAUACUAGAAAAAUCUAUGAUAUUCUAAAAAUCAACUUUAUCAUUUUUCACACUUCUUGAUCUCUUGGUACACCAUGUUCUUUGUAAGCUAAGUAUCAUCCAUCGCAAUGUUUAAUUCUAGGUGAUGUAACAGAAGGGCCAUUGGGGAUGCCACAAAUUUUCGAAGGAGGAGGCUGCAUUGCGCAAUAAGCAUACACCACGAACCCCACGAAGAGGACUGCUAGAAUCUUCUCAAACAUCCUUGAAAUUUUUCUCUGUUAUAAGCUUGGAAUGAAAUCUUAAAAGCAAGAAAACAUGAAGAAAAUAGAACAUACUUGCUCUGCCACAAGGUCAUCUAUGCUAUGUUGCUUGGGAUCUAAAAAAUACAGGUCGGUGUGUGUUGGUCGUCUUUGCACUUUUAAGGAUAAGAUACAGGUACAACAACAUUUUUGGAGUGUCAAAAAAAGAAAGAUAUUUCUAUGAUAAUUUUAUUCUUCUCUCGACCUUACUUUUUAUUUAACCAAUUUCAAGUAUUAAUUUCAUUUUGGACUCGUGAAAUAAAAUUUAGUUUUUUAUUUACAAGUAUAAAAUUGUAGUGAUAAGUGGCCGAUCUAAAUUUCUUGGCACGGGCAUUCCACAUCUAGUUAUAGAUAUAAACAACACCUAAAAGAGAGUGCAAUCAGGCUGUUUGCCACAUCAAUGUUUAGGAGGGUCAAAGCUAUUAAAAUACAAAAUUCACGGAGGUAAUUCAUUACACUAAAAUAAAAUUUAGGUGUGCACCGAAUAAAACUUAUCCGUUCAAGGAUGUUUUGAUUUAUUCAGCCCAUAAGCUCAUCAGUUGAUCAAUUAUAUAUAGUAUGACAUUGGCAUUUCCCACAAAUUUUGCAGUAAUAACUACAGUGAAGCCAAAGCAGCUUUAAUUGGUAUAUCAUGAUGUCUUCAUCAACAAUUUGAAGUCUUAGAAGUUGAAUUGAACUAUCUUUUAGCGGUUGAAAUGAUCAAUAAAAUUAUUAAAUCACCAUGGAGAAUCCAAAGAAUCAUUGAAGAAAUCAUACCUAAGGUUGUCCAAAGGAACAUAGAAGUCGAACAUUGUUAUAGGGAAGAAAAUCAUGAAGACGAGGAUGGAUUAAGUAAGCGAUCUGCUAGUUAUGGCAAAGGGUUCAUUCAGAAUAUCGAACAAGCUUCAACUAUCUUGUUGGUGUAUAUUUUCAACUGUAAUUUCUUGUAUAUACCAACACAACAUAUUGAUAUUCAGAAGAAGAGUUAAAAAGAACAAAAGUUGGUACUUCAACUCAAUUAGGCAAAGAUUGAUUGAGCUUGGCUCAAUUAGGCUCGGACUUGACUCACUUAGUUUGAUGCUAGUCCUAGUUCGUAGGUUUGAAUCUAGCUUGUUUGAAUGAUUGUUACAAGUAGUUUUAUAAUGUUUCGUAUUGUAUUGAUUGUAUUGCAUUGUUUUGAUGAAUACAAUAUUUGAAUAGAUUGUAAUUGUAAUAGAAUAUAAGUUCAUAUAUUAUUCCAAUAGAUAAGCAAGAUAUAAAUACAAUAUACUAGGUGCUAAUUUAGGAAAGAAAAUAAAGAGGGAUUCCUACAAAUCUGCUAGCUAAUUAUGAAGGAUUCCUACAGAUCUACUAGCUAAAAAUAUGCCUAUGUAUACUACUAAAAUGAUGUCUAUAUACAUUUUGUAACACUCCUCCUCAAGUUGGAGCAUAGAUAUUAACCAUGCCCAACUUGUUGCAAAGGUAAUCGACUCGAGUUCCAUUUACCGCCUUUGUAAGCAAAUCAGCUAGUUGUUCUCCUAUUUUCACGUAGCUAGUAGAGAUCAAGUUUUCUUGAAUCUUCUCACGAAUGAAGUGAAAGUCAACUUCAAUAUGUUUAGUUCUUUCAUGAUACACUGGGUUUGAGGCAAUAUGAAGAGCAUCUUGAUUAUCACACCACAGUUUUGCUGGCAUAUGAUGCUUCAAUCCUAUUUCAGUUAAAAGAUGAUGUAUCCACAUAAUUUCACAUGUAGACUGUGACAUAGCUCUGUACUCAGAUUCUGCACUGGAUCGAGAUACAACACUUUGCUUUUUACUCCUCCAUGCUACCAAGUUUCCUCCAACAAAGAUACAAUAACCUGUAGUGGAUCUUCUAUUAAUCUUGGAACCAGCCCAAUCAGCAUCUGCAAAACACUCAAUAUGAGUAUGGUUGUGAUUAUAUGCCAAGUCUAGGAGCUCCUUUCAAGUAACAUAGAAUAUGUUCCAAAGCUGCCCAAUGUUCGACCGUAGGUGCAGACAUGAACUGACUUACAACACUUACAACGAAAGCAAUAUCAGGACGAGUCACUGUGAGGUAGUUUAACUUCCCAACUAUCCCCCUAUGCCUCUCUGGAUUAUCAAAAGGGUCACCAUCUUUCAUGAGAUGCAAAUUGGGAAUCAUUGGAGUACUGCAAGGUUUGGCUACCAAUUUUCCAGUUUCUGCAAGUAGGUCAAGAACAUACUUUCUCUGAGAUAGAAGAAUUCCCUUCUUGCUUCUAUUUACUUCUACUCCCAAAAAAUAUUUCAACUGCCCCAAGUCCUUUGUAUGAAACUUAGUAUGUAAGAAAGACUUUAAUGGAAGAGAUCCCCUCAAAAUCACCUCAUGUGAUGACAAUGUCAUCAACAUAUACAACAAGAAGGAUAGUGCCAACUUCAGAUUGUCGGUAGAAGACAGAAUGAUCACAUUUGCUCAUUUUCAGUCCAAACUCUUGAAUGACCUCACUGAACUUGCCAAACCAAGCCCGUGGACUCUGCUUCAAGCCAUACAAGGACUUUUUCAAAUGACAAACUUUCUUAAACUCUCCUAGAGCAAUAAAACCGGGUGGUUGUUCCAUAUACACUUCCUCUUAAAGAUCACCAUGAAGGAAUGCAUUCUUGAUAUCCAACUGAUGUAAAGGCCAAUUUUCAGAAGCAGCUAGAGAAAUGAACAAGCGUACAAAACUGAGUUUAGCAACAGGAGAAAAAGUGUCUGAAUAGUCCACCCCAUAAGUCUGAGCAUAUCCUUUAGCUACAAGCCUAGCCUUAAGUCUUGCCACGGAACCAUCUGGCAUAACUUUAAUUGUGAACACCCACUAACAUCCUACUGGUUUCUUCCCAAUGGGUAAAUCCACCAAAUGCCAUGUGUGAUUUUUCCUCUAAUGCAUGUAUUUCCUCAAGCAUCGCAUUUGACCAUCCAGGAUGAUGCAAAGCCUCCUUCACUGUUUUGGGUACAGAAACAUAGUCUAGAGAAGCAAUCAAGGAUCUAGAUGUAGGAGAUAAGCGAUCAUAGGAAACAAAGUUAGCAAUAGAAUAUGUGGAUUUGCAAAUCCUUGUACCUUUAAGAAGAGCAAUAGAGAGGUCAAGUUGUUCUGAAGGAUUAGAUGGAGGAGUUGGUGCAGGACAUGUAUCAUCAGUCUCUCGUCUCCUCGAAUAAACUUGAACAAUUGGCGAUCUUGUUGGAACAUGUGUUGGUGGCACAGUAGUCGAGUGGUGCUCAAUAGAGUCACUCGGAGGUGGAAGAAUAGUAUCACUUGAUUCCACAACACGAGUAACAUGAUAAACUAACCACUCAUCUUCCUCCCCCUAACUUGUAAUUUUAGGAGGAGAAUAGAAAAAUGAUGUAGUCUCUGAAAAUACCACAUCAUUCAACACCAGAUAUUUGCCAAGUUCAGUAGAAUAACAUCGAUACCCCUUUUGAAGACAAGAAUAACCCAAGAAAACACACUUCAAUGCCUUAGGAUCCAACUUAGUAACAGAUAGUCGUACAUUUCGAACAUAACAUGUACUUCCAAAUACCUUUGGUUCCACCGGAAAUAAUGACUUGUUUGGAAAAAGAACAUUGUAAGGCAUAUUACCAGCAAGAACUGUCGAUGGCAUGCGAUUAAUUAGAAAACAAGCCAUAGAGACUGCAUCGGCCCAAAAUUGUUUAGGAACUUUCAUUUGGAACAAAAGUGCUCGGGCAGUCUUAAGUAGAUGUCUAUUCUUCCUCUCAGCAACUCCAUUUUGAGAAGGUGUAUCAACACAAGAUGACUGAUGGAGGAUACCGUGUUGUCUUAUGUAGGAUUGAAACAACUCUGACAUGUAUUCUUUUGCAUUAUCACUCCUUAAAAUAUACACAGAAGCAUUGAAUUGAGUUUUGACUUCAGCAAUAAAAGGCACAAAAGUGAGUAAACACUUCAGAGCGACUUUUCAUAAAAUAAAUCCAAGUCAUCCGAGAGAAAUCAUCCACAAAAGUGACAAAAUAUUUAUGUCCAGUUUUGGAAACAACUGGACAUGGUCCCCAAACAUCAGAAUGAAUUAACUCAAAAGCUGAUUCAACUCGUUUAUUAACCCUUGGACCUAAUGUGAUGCGAUGAUGUUUUGCAAAUCGGCAUGAUUCACACUCCAAAGAAGGAACAUUUUGAAACUGGGGACAUAACUUCUUUUAAUAAAGGUAAAGAAGGGUGUCCUAAUCGACAAUGUGCUUCAAAUGGAGACAAGACACUUGAGUAGGCAACAAAUCGAGACUCAUAUUCAUCAAGGAUAUAUAGACCAUCAAUUACAUGUCCUUUACCAAUAACCUUAUGCGUCGCAAGAUCACGAAACAAGCAAUGAUUAGGAAAGAACGAAACAUAACAAUUAAGAUCUCUAGUAAGUUUACUCACAGAAAUCAAAUUGAAGGCCACCUUUGGUAGAUUUAAUACAGAGGACAAGUUAAUAGAGGAGGUUGCUUUGACGGUUCCAGAUCCCACAAUGUUACAUGUUGACCCAUCGGCUACUGUUACAGGAGAGGGAGCUUUGUGUGAUUGAAAAGUAGAAAAUAUGUUCUGAUCACCUGUCAUGUGAUCUGUAGCACCUGAAUCAAUCACCCAGUUGUUCGAAGAUGAGACCACACAUGCUUUUCUUGAAUCAACAAGGGUAGUAAAUGUAGUGAAUUCUUUAAGGGAUUCUUGAUAUUGAGAGAACUCUGCAAACUGAUCUGCCGAAACCAAAAUUGUCUUAUCCUUCUGAUUUGUAGCCAUAUUUCCUCCUUUCUAAUUGUUUGAGUUAUAUUUUCCAACUCAAAUACACAAAGUACCAAUACAGGAGAAUCCAGCAAACACAAACAGAAAAUACAAUCCAAUACCAACAAAACAAUUAUAGUGGAGGUUCAAACUUCAAGAACAAAGCAGGAUGAGAGAGAACAAAGGAACCAGAAAUCAAGAACAAGUUUCCAGAAAACACUAUUCAUUCAAUGUUUAACAAUAUUCAACAAUCGCAGCAGCACCAAACAGAAUACCAAAUAUGAAUCGCAGAAGCUACAGAGAAAUAUGAAUCUGGAAGUAACCUUCAAAAAAUAUAUGAACCUGGAAUGUAAAAAGUGUUCUCCAAACAGUGUUUCAACACCAAACAAAACUCGGGGUACACCAGAAAGGAUGAUCUGCCUCAUACUGCGGCAGUGACACAAAUUGGCCACUUUGAAAGUGAUCGAUUUGAAAUCUGAGCUUGUUUCUGUAAGACUGCAAAACGAGAUUGAGCUGCCUUUCGAAACAAAGAGAAAACAGGAUCAAGGAGCCUAUAGGCUCUGAUACCAUGUAAUCGAAUAUAAGUUCAUAUAUUAUUCCAAUAGAUAAGCAAGAUAUAAAUACAAUAUACUAGGUGCUAAUUUAGGGAAGAAAAUAAUGAGGGAUUCCUACAAAUCUGCUAGCUAAUUAUGAAGGAUUCCUACAGAUCUACUAGCUAAAAAUAUGCCAGUGACACAAAUUGGCCACUUUGAAAGUGAUCGAUUUGAAAUCUGAGCUUGUUUCUGUAAGACUGCAAAACGAGAUUGAGCUGCCUUUCGAAACAAAGAGAAAACAGGAUCAAGGAGCCUAUAGGCUCUGAUACCAUGUAAUCGAAUAUAAGUUCAUAUAUUAUUCCAAUAGAUAAGCAAGAUAUAAAUACAAUAUACUAGGUGCUAAUUUAGGGAAGAAAAUAAUGAGGGAUUCCUACAAAUCUGCUAGCUAAUUAUGAAGGAUUCCUACAGAUCUGCUAGCUAAAAAUAUGCCUAUGUAUACUACUAAAAUGAUGUCUAUAUACAUUUUGUAACAGUAAUGUUAUCACGUUAUUACCUAAUUAAUGUUACACAUCAACAAUCUAAUGUAUAAACUUACAAUACUGAACAGUAGAUAAGGGAAUAGAGUUAUUAUCACAUAUGUAUGGCUUGCUUUAGAGUAUAUUUUAGAAGUAUUUAGUCAGUGUUUAUCAUCGAUCUUGGCAUAUUUAGAGGCCAAUUAUCUUACUAAGCUUUGUUGCACUUGGUGGUUAUUUGGUAGACACAAAAAAAGGUUCACUGCAAAUUCUCCCAAAAGUACUCGAAAAUCCUAGUUUCGUCACUGUUCAUGCUGAGAACAUACUGAUCUUGAAAUUAUUUAAAGCUAAUUUUUUAAUAUAAUCACUCUUUAGUAUAUAUUAUAGAGCUGGGAGUAAUGAAGAAAGGUUAAUAAGAGAAGAGUUUUUACAUACUGUAUCCAAUAUAUGAUAUGGAACUCUAGUUGCUGCAAUUACACAAAAUGUCUACACUAAUAGCUUCAUAGAACCGCUGAAGAACAUAUGAAGGAUAAAAUGGAAAGAAAUGAAAUUAGUAACUGCUUUUACGCGGGAACUGUCAUGUUAUCGGAUGAAUGAUUUUCCACUUCUGCUCCUUCCUCCGUUAAGUCUUCGUUUUCCCUUAACAUCUCUUCCAGUGACUUCCCCUUGGAUUCUGGAACCAAGAAAGUGAAAAAUAAUCUGAGAAGGUUGACUACACCAAGUACAAUGAGUGAAUUCCUAACCCCAAUUCCAGCAGGAUACCCUGCAUCAGCCUUGGUCUUGUCUUGUGGUUGAGCCAAAUACAAGAAGCCAAAUGCACCCACCAUUGCCCCUAACUUUCCCCAUGCAGCUGAUAGCCCAUGGCAAGUCGACCGCAAUCUAGCAGGGAAAAUCUCAGCAGGCACGACGAAUGUAGUGGCGUUGGGUCCAAAGUUGGCAAAGAAGAAGGUCAGUGAAUAGAGGACCACAAACCCGAUAUGGUGGCCAGGGAGAGUCCAGUGGUGGUAAGGAAUGACCAGAGCAAACAUGAACACUGUCAUAAUUGUGAAACCAAUAACUUGAAUGGUAAACCUUCCAAUCCUGUCAAUGAGGAACACUGUGAACCAGUAGCCAGGCACGGUACUGCAGAGAGCGAUAAGAGUUUGUGCCUGUGAAAUUUUGUAAACCUCUUCAAUUGCAUUCAUAGUCUUGGCAACAGGAAUUCAUCCCAUGGCACUGAAUAUAUCCUUUUGGAACAAGUUUUGGCUGUAGUAGGCAAUAUCAAGAAGAAACCAUGUGCUAGCUGUGCCAAGCAAGUGAAGUCCAUGUCGCCUAAGAAAUUGUUUCGUGAACAAACCAAAUUCAUUGCCGGACUUUACAGUAGGCUCUUUUUGCUCUGUCCCAAUGUCAACCUGCAUAACCUUUUCCAUAUCUGCAGUGGCAUGUUUCACAUUCUUGGCUACAAGAGCAGUGUAACGAGCCGUUUCAGGCAUCUUCAUCCUCCAGUAGUAAGUGAGAAGAGCAGGAAGUGACCCAGCCAUCAUUAUGAUCCUCCACACGUAAUCAACUUGAGGAACGGUUGAACCAAGGGGAUCCACUUGAUAGGCUGGCGCCUUGAAACAAGCCUGGAAUACAUCAGAGAUAAUGAUGGCAAAGAUACCACCUCCGAGGAUACCAAAUCCUUGCAUAGCGAAAACAGCAGCAAUGAAGGCACCCCUAGUCUUUUUGUUGGCAUAUUCAGACAUAAUAGUAGCAGAAAGGGGGUAAUCGCCACCAAAACCAAAACCAAGCCAGAAGCGAAAGAAGCAGAUGGUGGCCAUGACGGUUUUAGGAUCCCUACCAAAAGAAAGGCUAGAAGCAAUGGAACAAAUACAUAUGAUCGUAAGGGUUAUGCCAGACUUUUUUCCUUCCUAUUUUGUCACCAAUCCAUCCAAAGAAGAGUUGUCCCGCAAUGGUACCACAGAAGGCGACACCAUUGAUAGCAGCGGAAACAUUAGGAGGUAGUGAACCAGGCUUUGAAGAGCCAUCGACAUGGUAGUAAAUAUGUCCAAGCAACUUAGUGACUAGAGAUAUGCAGAAGAGAUCGUAGGCAUCAAUAAAAAAUCCCAUACCAGCUAUUAUGAUUUCUGUGAAGUGAUACCAUUAUGUUUUUGCUGAAUCAAAUGCGUUCAAAACCUUCAUAUCCCCAACCAUUUUCUUCUUUCUGCAAAUCAAAACAAUAUUCAACAUGUAAGCUAAUCCAAUUUUCAAUCGAGACCAAAAUAGCAGCAUUACCAAUUCAAAACAACAAACACUUAUUGUAACAUACAAAAAAUAUUAGUUUACGACAGUAAAAAAAAAGAACCACAAAACGAAAAGAUAAAAUGCAAGAUUAUGCAUAUAUCAACCCGUCAAAGUUUGAUAUAGCCAUUCUGAUCUGUCCAAAUUCAAUCUAAUGAAUGUUGGGUUUAGUAAGGUGUGAAUGAGAAAUAAAAAGAGAAAAUGGAAAGUGGAAGAACCAAUGAAAGUGGGGGAACCAAUUUUGGAGGGAAAAUGAAAAGUCAUUGCAAAAUUGCAAAUGAAAGGUCAUUUUUACCAUAUUGGUAGAAGAAAGGAAAUUGUUGUCAUUAUAUUAGGAAACACUUUCUUUAGUUCUUAAAGGGUUAAGAAGAAGGUGCCCCCUCGCGCCGUUGUCGUCGCUCGCUCGGCCUCGGCUUCGGCUUCGGCUUCGGAUUUGGAUUUGGAUUUGGCAAAUGAUGUGAUUGAUUGAUAAUAUUUAUGGAUAAAAUUUAUUUAAUCAAUUUUGUUAAAUCAUUUACUUUCUCUUAUAAAUUAAUUCAGAAUGUUAAUUGAAUAACAGAAUUAAUUUGGCGCAAACUGAAUUUAUUGAAAUUCACGUGUAACGGUAAUCCUUCCGAAAUGUCGUUACUUUUCUCAAACGGUAAUCCUUCCGAAAAGUCGUUACUUUUCCCAAAGGACACAAUGUUCUAGAAAAAAUGGGUCUGAACAGAUUUUUCUGAACAGACGAGUUCCUUGCUGCAAAUGGCUAUAAAUACGAGGUCUUUUUCAUUUUUUCAAACACUGAAAAGAUUUUUCCUCGCUGCAUACAAUUUCUUACAUAAAUAAAAUUGUCGAUCUACUGAGUCUAUGUGUGCUCUUGUUGAUGUUCUUGCGUUCGCUGAAGUUAUUGAAGUUUGAGGUACCGCUACUUCUUUAAUAGGUUAAUCCAUUUUUAUCUUGGGAGGAAUUAAUUUGCAACCUCGGGUACAGUGAGGGGAUUAAAUUUCUUAAGGAAACACAGUGGUUUCUGUGGACUCGGAUUAAAAAUCAUUCUGUCUAUUUCAUCUUUUUCUGUUUCUGUAUUUUUGACUAACCUGAAUACAGGAGAUAACAAUCUUAAGAAAUUUAAAGUUUCUGUAUUUGAGGUUUCUGGAGAUUAAAACCUUAUGGUUUUCUACUCUGUUUGAAUUCUUAAAAUUCAUUCGAUUAACGAUUAAAAAAACAUAAAAACUUUAUCGUUAAAUCAGAAACAGGCUGUGUAAGGAUGUAUUCUUUACUAUUAGUAUCCACAUACUAAAUUGUCUGCCAUUUUAUGACAGAAAAAAUGACAAAUUCAAGUCAAGUAAAUGUUGGAACAGUGAGUGCUGCAACAACAUCAGUUAGUGCUGCAACAACAUCGGUUGCACACAAUCGUUCGACUGCUGCCCUUGCACCGGCUGAGAAACCUGCAAAGUUUUCUGGAGUCAACUUUAAGAGAUGGCAGCAGAAAAUAUUCUUCUAUCUGACUACGUUGAGUCUACAGAGGUUCAUUAAUGAGAACGUUCCUAUUAUGUCGGAUGAAACUCGCCUGAAGAACGAUUCUUGGUAAUAGAAGCAUGGACACAUUCUGAUUUUUUGUGUAAAAAUUAUAUUCUAAGUGGCCUGCAGGAUGAUCUGUACAAUGUGUACAGUAAUGUCAAAACCUCAAAAGAACUCUGGGAUGCUUUAGAAUAGAAGUACAAAACAGAGGAUGUCGGAAUGAAAAAAUUUAUUGUGGCAAAGUUUCUGGACUAUAAGAUGAUAGACAGUAAGACCGUCGUCACCCAAGUUCAAGAAUUGCAGGUCAUAAUCCAUGAUCUCCUUGCUGAAGGUAUAAAUUUAUUUAAUACCUAUGUUGGAAAUACUAAGUUUAUUCUUAAUACUCACAUAAUCUUUAAUAUAGGAUUGGUUGUGAAUGAUGUUUUUCAAGUGGCUGCCAUUAUUGAGAAAUUACCUCAAUUGUGGAAGGACUUCAAAAACUACUUGAACCAUAAACGCAAGGAGAUGAUUAUUGAAGAUCUCAUGGUAAGGCUAAGAAUCGAAGAGGAUAACAAGGCCGCAGAAAAGAGGUCACGUGGUAAUUCAACAAUAUCAGGAGUAAAUAUUGUUAAAGAAGAUCCACAAAAUCAAAGAAAAGAAAGAAACCAUCUAGUCCAAAGAGCAAUCCUCCUAAGAAGAAAUUCAAUGGAAGCUGCUUCAACUGUGGCAAACGUGGUCAUAAGGCUACUGAAUGCAUGGGUCCCAAGAAGGACAAAAAGAAGGAUCAAGUAAAUUUGGCUGAAUCUAAAGGAGAGAUAGACGAUCUUUGUGCAAUGCUUUCAGAAUGAAACUUGGUUGGAAAUCCAAGAGAAUGGUGGAUAGAUUCUGGUGCCUCAUGCCAUGUUUGUGCCAACAAAGAAUUAUUUUCAUCAUAAACUCCAGCACCUACAUAUAAGAAGUUGUUUAUGGCAAACUCCGCUGUUGCAAAGGUGGAAGGAACUGGCAAAGAUCCUCCUAAAGAUGACAUCAGGAAAGGUGGUGACUUUGAACAGGGUCUCGUAUGUUCCGGAAUUGCGAAAGAACUUAGUUUCUAUACCAGUUCUGACUAAGAAUGGAUUCAAAUGUGUAUUUGUUUAUGAUAAAGUUGUAGUAAGUAAGAAUGAGAUGUAUGUAGGAAAAAGUUACCUCACUGAGGGCCUUUUUAAACUCAAUGUAAUUGCAGUUGAUAUGAAUAAAGAUUCUGCUUCUUCUUACUUGCUUGAGUCUAAAUGUUUAUGGCAUGAACGUUUGGGACACGUUAAUAACAAAGCCUUGCGAAAACUGAUUAACUUAAAUGUUUUGCCUAAAUUUGAGUGCAAUAAAUCAAAAUGUCAAGUUUGUGUUGAAUCUAAGUAUGCUAAGCAUCCUUAUAAAUCUGUUAAAAUGAAUUCAUAUCCCUUAGAACUGAUUCACACUGACAUUUGUGACAUGAAGUCAACACCAACACGUGGUGGGAAAAAAUAUUUCAUAACUUUUAUUGAUGACUGCACUAGAUAUUGUUAUGUCUAUUUGCUAAAUGGUAAGGAUGAAGCAAUCGACGCAUUUAGGCAAUAUAAAACUGAAGUUGAAAAUCAGUUGGAAAGAAAGAUCAAAAUGAUCAGAAGUGAUAGAGGUGGAGAAUAUGAAUCUCUAUUUGCAGAAAUAUGUUUGGAAAAUGGAAUAAUCCACCAAACUACUGUUCCUUACUCUCCCCAAUCUAAUGGAAUUGCGGAAAGAAAAAACCGAACUUUAAAGGAAAUGAUGAAUGCCUUACUUAUAAGUUCAGGUUUACCACAAAACUUGUGGGGGGAAGCUAUCCUUACAGCAAAUCGAAUACUCAAUAGAGUGCCUCACACGAAGACACAUGUUAUUCCAUAUGAGAAAUGGAAAGGCAGAAAACCCAACUUGAAAUAUUUCAAAGUGUGGGGGUGUCUAGCCAAGGUCCAGGUUCCUAUACCUAAGAGGGUGAAAAUAGGGCCUAAGACUGUGGAUUGUGUACUAAUUGGAUAUGCUACAAAUAGUAAGGCAUGUCGAUUUUUGGUUCAUAAGUCCGAACAUCUGGAUAUUCAUGAUAAUACGGUAAUGGAAUUAGAUAAUGCUGAAUUUUUUGAACAUAUAUAUCCGUAUAAAACUAGACUUGUGUCAUCUAGUGGGGGGUCUAAACAACCUCGAGAAGAACCAAAAGAGAAUGAAACCAAUGAAGAGAUUCCAAGGCGCAGUAAACGUCAAAGGACAUCUACUUCAUUUGGAUCUGAUUUUGUAACAUUCCUUCUUGAAAAUGAGCCUCAAACAUUCAAGGAAGCGAUGUUGUCUAGCGACUCAACCUCUUGGAAGGAGGCUGUCAAUAGUGAGAUUGAAUCAAUCUUAAGCAAUCAUACCUGGGAGUUGGUUGAUCUUCCUCCGGAGAAUAAAUCCUUGGGUUCAAAAUGGAUCUUCAAAAAGAAGAUGAAAGAUGAUGGAACUAUUGACAAAUAUAAAGCAAGACUUGUUGUCAAAGGCUUUAGACAGAAAGAAGGUCUUGAUUAUUUUGACACAUACUCGCCAGUGACUAAGAUUACAUCAAUUCGGAUGUUAAUUGCCCUAGUUGCAGUAUACGGUCUUGAAAUCCAUCAAAUGGAUGUGAAAACCGCCUUCUUAAAUGGAGAGCGGGAGGAAGAGAUCUACAUGGAACAGCCUGAGGGCUUCGUAGUUCCCGACAAGAAAGAAGUAUGCAAACUUGUUAAGUCACUUUAUGGACUAAAAGAAGCACCGAAAUAAUGGCAUGCAAAGUUUGAUCAAACCAUGUUGUCAAAUGGAUUUAAGAUCAAUAAGUGUGAUAAAUGUGUUUACAUUAAAGACACUAUGGAUCAGGAAGUCAUUGUAUACCUAUAUGUGGAUGAAAUGCUGAUAAUGAGCAAGGACAUUGCCAAUAUAAAAGCUACUAAGCGUAUGCUUGCUAGUAAGUUUGAUAUGAAAGAUCUAGGAGUAGCCGAUUUAAUAUUGGGAAUAAAGAUUCACAAAACUCCUAACGGUCUAGCAUUGUCUCAAUCUCAUUAUAUUCAAAAAGUACUUGAAAAGUUCAAGUAUUUGAAUUUCAAAAAGGCAAAGACCCCAAUUGAUGUGAACCUUAAUCUUGCUAAGAAUAAAGGUGAAAGUCAAUCUCAAUUGGAUUACGCCAGCGUAUUGGGAAGUUUGAUGUAUGUCAUGAAUUGUACACGACCAGACAUAGCCUGCGCUAUAAGUAAACUGAGUCGAUACACAAGUAAUCCCAAUCAAAAUCAUUGGUUGGCAAUGAAGAGAGUUUUGGGGUACUUAGAAGACACUCAAAACUAUGCUUUGCAUUACAACAAAUAUCCAGCAGUUCUUGAAGGAUAUAGUGAUGCAAAUUGGAUUACUGGGUCAACUGAAACCAAAUCCACGAGUGGAUAUGUUUUCACUAUUGGUAGAGGAGCAAUAUCUUGGAAAUCAUCCAAACAAACAUGUAUAGCUCGCUCUACAAUGGAGUCAGAAUUCAUCGCCUUAGACAAGGNNNNNNNNNNNNNNNNNNNNNNNNNNNNNNNNNNNNNNNNNNNNNNNNNNNNNNNNNNNNNNNNNNNNNNNNNNNNNNNNNNNNNNNNNNNNNNNNNNNNNNNNNNNNNNNNNNNNNNNNNNNNNNNNNNNNNNNNNNNNNNNNNNNNNNNNNNNNNNNNNNNNNNNNNNNNNNNNNNNNNNNNNNNNNNNNNNNNNNNNNNNNNNNNNNNNNNNNNNNNNNNNNNNNNNNNNNNNNNNNNNNNNNNNNNNNNNNNNNNNNNNNNNNNNNNNNNNNNNNNNNNNNNNNNNNNNNNNNNNNNNNNNNNNNNNNNNNNNNNNNNNNNNNNNNNNNNNNNNNNNNNNNNNNNNNNNNNNNNNNNNNNNNNNNNNNNNNNNNNNNNNNNNNNNNNNNNNNNNNNNNNNNNNNNNNNNNNNNNNNNNNNNNNNNNNNNNNNNNNNNNNNNNNNNNNNNNNNNNNNNNNNNNNNNNNNNNNNNNNNNNNNNNNNNNNNNNNNNNNNNNNNNNNNNNNNNNNNNNNNNNNNNNNNNNNNNNNNNNNNNNNNNNNNNNNNNNNNNNNNNNNNNNNNNNNNNNNNNNNNNNNNNNNNNNNNNNNNNNNNNNNNNNNNNNNNNNNNNNNNNNNNNNNNNNNNNNNNNNNNNNNNNNNNNNNNNNNNNNNNNNNNNNNNNNNNNNNNNNNNNNNNNNNNNNNNNNNNNNNNNNNNNNNNNNNNNNNNNNNNNNNNNNNNNNNNNNNNNNNNNNNNNNNNNNNNNNNNNNNNNNNNNNNNNNNNNNNNNNNNNNNNNNNNNNNNNNNNNNNNNNNNNNNNNNNNNNNNNNNNNNNNNNNNNNNNNNNNNNNNNNNNNNNNNNNNNNNNNNNNNNNNNNNNNNNNNNNNNNNNNNNNNNNNNNNNNNNNNNNNNNNNNNNNNNNNNUUCAACUUCGGAUUUGGAUUUGGCAAAUGAUGUGAUUGAUUGAUAAUAUUUUUGGACAAAAUUUAUUUAAUCAAUCUUGUUAAAUCAUUUCCUUUCUCUUAUAAAUUAAUUCAUAAUGUUAAUUGAAUAACAGAAUUAAUUUGGCGCAACUGAAUUUAUUUGAAAUUCACGUGUAACGGUAAUCCUUUCGAAAGGUCGUUACUUUUCCCAAGCGGUAAUCCUUCCGAAAAGUCGUUACUUUUCCCAAAGUCGUUACUUUCCGAAAAGUCGUUACCUUCCGAAAAAUCGUUACUUUUCCCAAAGGACACAAUGUUCUGGAAAAAAACGGGUCUUUCUGAACAGACGCGUUCCUUGCUGCAUAUGGCUAUAAAUAAGAGAUCUUUUUCGUUUUUUNNNNNNNNNNNNNNNNNAAAAUGAAAAGUCAUUGCAAAAGUGCAAAUGAAAGGUCAUUUUUACCAUAUUGGUAGAAGAAAGGAAAUUGUUGUCCUUAUAUUAGGAAACACUUCCUUUAGUUCUUAAAGGGUUAAGAAGAAGGUGCCCCCUCGCGCCAUCGUCGUCGCUCGCUCGGCUUCAACUUCGGAUUUGGAUUUGGCAAAUGAUGUGAUUGAUUGAUAAUAUUUUUGGACAAAAUUUAUUUAAUCAAUCUUGUUAAAUCAUUUCCUUUCUCUUAUAAAUUAAUUCAUAAUGUUAAUUGAAUAACAGAAUUAAUUUGGCGCAACUGAAUUUAUUUGAAAUUCACGUGUAACGGUAAUCCUUUCGAAAGGUCGUUACUUUUCCCAAGCGGUAAUCCUUCCGAAAAGUCGUUACUUUUCCCAAAGCACAAUGUUCUGGAAAAAACGGGUCUGAACAGAUUUUUCUGAACAGACGCGUUCCUUGCUGCAAAUGGCUAUAAAUAAGAGGUCUUUUUCGUUUUUUCAAACACUGAAAAGAUUUUUCCUCUCUGCAUACAUUUUCUUACAUAAAUAAAAUUGUCGAUCGACUGAGUCUGUGUGUGCUCCUGUUGCUGUUCUUGCGUUCGCUGAAGUUAUUGAAGUUUGAGGUACUGCUACUUCUUUAAUAGGUUAAUCUGUUUUAUCUUGGGAGGAAUUAAUCUGCAAUCUCGGGUACAGUGAGGGGAUUGAAUUUCUUAAGGAAACACAGUGAUUUCUGUGGACUCGGAUUAAAAAUCAUUCUGUCUAUUUCAUCUACAAGAGAUAACAAUGAAAACAUAUGUUUAUAAUCUCCAAGCUAAAAUUUAUAGUUAUAAAACACACCUGAGUCAUAAGAUCAACAUAUGUCAUUGAACUUUGAGAAAAGUUUUAUCUAUGCCAUUUCAGUUUGAUGACAUAUUUUAGUCUUUUCUCAAUUAACAAUGUAAAAUUAAGUUGUAGGACUAAAAAAAACAACAAAUGCACCUGCAAUAAGUUUAUAUGAUACAAGCAACAAGUACAAAGUGUCACAAUCCUAAUUUUUCAUUACUGAUAUGAACAUUAUUGAAAUUAAAUCAACCUUUUACAUAAAUAAGGAAAUAGUUGUCUUUUUAAAUAUCUUGGCCAGAGUGCAGGGUAAAAAUCUUUAUUAGACUCUUGUGAUUGGAAAUUAACUUACAUUAAGCUAGAAUAAAUGGAACAACAAAAUUACAUUCUCUAAUGGUUAGGCGAGUGUUGUAGAGACCAAGCUUUAGGCGAGGCGAAAGGCCUUGAUGAUGACAUUAUUAUGUUCAUUGAUGCUGACAAGAAAACGUUUCCAGAUGUUGGGCGAAAUAUCUGAGAAUUUAGAUGCAAGAAAAGCAUUAGAUGAGGGAUUGAAGGUUCAUAACAAGUACUUGAAACAGGUAAGUUUCUUUGAAGUAGUCUUCAACCUUUCCCCAAUCCCACAUUAGGAUGUGUUAAUUGGUUUGGUAUAAACAACGGGCAUAGAUAAAUUUCUCCCCACAUAAAAAUCCACGACCCUUAAGUUUCCAGCACAUGAAAAUGACUUGGUUUCUCUCAACACUUAAUGCAGGCUAAAAAAAUCAUAGUUGGAGUUGCUAGUGGUGGUCACAGCAGCAAGCAUCUCCUGUGGUUAAAGUCAUUUUUGUUUUUUCAUUAUUAAUUUCAAUUUUUAAACUCUAUUUUUGGGAUUUAUUCCUCUUGUUCCUCUUAUAAAUUCAUGUGUCAUGACUCAUGUCUGUCUUCUUUCAAUUGCUUUAUGGAUGAAAGCAGGGGCGGAGCCAGCAGUGUGUCAGGGGUUCACCCGAACCCCCUUCGAUAGAAAAUCUUACUAUUUAUACAUGAUUAAAAUUAUUUUUUAUGUAUAUAUUGUAGAUUUCGAAUCCCCUUCGAUUAGUUCGUAUGUAAACUUUUUCAGAUCAUUAAAAGUUCUAGCUCUGCCACUAGAUGAAAGGACUUUCAGUUUGAGAUACUAAAGAUGUGACAAGAUCUUUAGUGGCACCUGAGAGUGCCACUAAAGUUAUUAUUUCAUUCUAUAUUAAAAUGUUGAUUGGACACCAAAUUUAAAAAAACAAUGAAAGAUUUUUUAAACUUGUGACCUUUAAGUAAUAGUUUUGAAUUCCAAUAUACUACAUUAUAUACUGAAUUUUUAUUUUAUUUUUGUUCUAGCGUAAGGUUAAUUUAAUCCAUUAUCUAAAUAUUGAAUAAUUUUAAAAUUUGGGGAUAAACUUAGAUAGUAAUCUGAAAAGUAGCUAUUUGUCAAUUUCUCCCAAAUUUAGAGCUUCAAAAGGAAUUUUAUGAUUUUAUUGUUACUAAGACAAUAUUAAAGUUUGUAAAGAAAAAAUUGCAAAAUUUUCCUUCGGACAAAGAUUGCCCACCUUUUAAAAGGAGUAAUAUUUUAGAGCUUUUAGUUAACAUACUCCAAUCUCUAUAUUAAUAAAUAAUUUUCUUGUAGCAACAUCUAAAGUAAUACUUCCUCCGUCCCAUAUUAUAUGUCGCCCCUUUCUAAAAAUAGCUGAACCACAAUAUAUGUCAUUUUAUAAAAUUUAUGCAUAAAUUACCAUUUUUUUGCCCAUUAUACCCUUGAUAGAUUAAUUAAUUAAUCUUGAAAAUGUAUUUACUUUGACUAACCUAGAAAAUACUACAAGUAAUUAAUUUCAUUGGGAGAGUACUUCAUUCAUUAAUUAACUACUUUCUUUGUUCACUACUUAUUCUAUAAAAUCUGAUUUUAGAAAAAAAUAUCAACAAACAAAUUAAAAAUAAAAGAUGAAAAAAAUUCAAAAAUAAUCUUGAAAGUAGCUUCAACAAAUUUUAUCAAGGAAGAUGACAUUUCAACAAGUUCAAAGGAAAAUUUAGAUCAAUUUGAAAUAAUGGAAUUUGAAUAUUUUGUGAUGUUGUCAUGUUUGCUUUAAGAAUUUAUAUAAAAAAAUAUUUUACACAAAAUAUAUAGGAAAAUUGAGGUGGGAAAAACUUGAUUUUUUAAAUUUUUUUGGAUCAAUUGGUGAAAAAUUUGGCUCCAAAAAUAAACUCUAAAAUUUAAUUAGUCAUCCAAAUACAUUUAUAUUUUUGAAAUCUAACAUUUCAUCAUUUAUUACAAAGUUGUCAUAAGCAAACAUUAAAUAAGGGCAUAAGAAUAAAAUUACCUUAUUUCUUAAUGCAAGUGCAAAUGGAAAAUGCGACAUAUAAUAUGGGACGGAGGGAAUAUAUAGCAAACAUAUGGUUAAUAUCUUAUUUACUUAAAUCAAUACUUACAUAUAUAAGUAUUAGUAUUAUUAGGUGAAGUUAAAUAUUUUAUUUCUUGUAAGAAUUUUUUUAUGAAGUUAAAUAUUUUAUGUCAAGUAAGAAUAUAAGUAGAUUAUAACUUUGAAAAAAGGGCUAAAAUUAUUUUUAUACUUCCAUUUAUUAGCUAAUUUGUUCUUCGUUAUAUUAUUUGGCUAUUUAUAUUCUUAUUAUUACGAUAUUUAUUGCAUAUAUCCCUAAUUGGAUGAAAACCCUCGUAUCAAAAUAAAAUAUCAUAUUUUAAAUAAACAUCUCAUCAUCCUUAUAUUACUCGUUCUGAUACAACUCAAUAAAUAUAAUCCAAACAAAUAUAUCAUCCAAAUGUAUUCAACUUCUCUGAAACAAAAGCUAUUAUGAUUGUUGUGAAGUGAUACCAUUGUGUUUUUGCAGAAUCAAGCGCAUUCAAGACCUUCAUAUCUGUCACGACCCAAAAUCACAAGUCGUGAUGGCACAUAUGUUCCCAACCGAUAGGUAAGCCAACCCAAUACUUUUACCAAUUCAAUUCAAUAUUUAAAGUAGAAAGAUAAGCGAAAACAUAAUAUCCAAACACUAAGUCUUUUACAAGUAUGAAGUGCGGAAACCUAAAUUACCACCCCAAGAUUUAGUGUCAUAAGUACAAGAGCUUCUAAACUAUGAUACAAGUCUAGAACUAAAUGAAAAACCUAGACGUGAGAAAUAUCCUGUCUAAAUACUAAAUAAAAUGAUAACGUCUAAAGACAUAGAGGGAGGUGUGGGCCGCAGAACAGCCAAGUAGCUCACCACAACUCCAAGAUAAUUCAAAACUCAGCUCUGAAAGCUCCACGAAAUGCACUCGAAAUUGAAAUCCAAUCUGCACCACAAAAGAGUGCAGCAAGUGUAGUAUUAGUACGAAACCACGUGUACCCAGUAUAUCUCAUCGACCGACAAUGAAGAAGUAGUGACAGGAGUAUAUAAAAAAAUAAUCCUUUAAUUUUACAAGUCCACAAUAUAUUUAUCAACCAAGUUUUCAUCAAUAGGGACAAUCAAAUUUCACGUAAUGUCCACCCACCAAAUAAACACAUAAUCAACAAGAAUGAAAGAUGUAAUGAGAUGCAAUGCAAUGUGACACCAUGGAAUGAUAUGCCUCAUAUGUCAAGUACUCCCUCAACCGUAUAUACAUGAUACUCCUCGAAAAUACAUUGAGAGUUCAUGAUCCAUGGGGGACUCACGAGGUCCAUAAACCAACACAGACGAUCUCCACGUGUCUGUGCGGACGAUCUCAACGCACUACCAUAAAAUCAAAUAAUUUUCGCACGGAUGAUCUCCACGUGCCCAAAUUAUAAUCAUAACUUCUCCCUCGCACAGACGAUCUCCACGUGCCCAAAUUAUAAUCAUAACUCGAUCUCAACACGGACGAUCUCCACGUGUUAGACCUUUACCCACACUCAAUCUCAUGUCAAUGCAUGUGCACAAUAUGAUAUCAAUAAAAAAAAAGGAUGAUGCAACAUCUCAAUAAAUCAAAUGUCGCUAUGACAUAUAAUCACCUCAAUUAUCACAAUUAUACGGGUUCAAUAAAGAAACACAACCACACACAAGAAAUCAAGUCACUAAAUACAUCAGCUAAUGCCCCUAUGCUUUGGCAUUUUCGAAUUACAAUCUAUCAUAUAAUAGUAAUAAACUUUCCCUUCAAUCACACCGGUACUCGUACCAAUGCCUGUCACACCAUUGGUACGAGACCCCCAUCUUUCGCCCUUACCCAUUGUCUAUUCUAUUUUUAAUCUUUAAUUAGAAAUUGUCCUUCAAUGAAGUCUAGAAAGUCUUAACAUACCUCGAAUGUCGGACAUGUGUCACGAAUCCUCAAGAUUUUGCCUUUUCCUUUCGUAAAGCUUCAGAAUGUUUUCAAUCUAUCAAAUAUGCAUUUUUGUAAGUAAACGAGUCUGUAUACACCCAUAUUACUCUACGUUAGGGGUGUAUAUGACCGGGUUGGUUCGGGGUUUUCAAAUAUCAAAUCAAACCAUUUGUGUAAAAAAUUUUAAUUUAUAAACCAAACCAAACUAAUAAAAUUCAGAUUUUUUCGGGUUUUUCAACCUUGGGUUGGUUCGGGGUUUUCAAAUACCAAACCAAACCAUUGUGUCGAAUUUUUAUUAAAUUUAUAAAUUAAACCAAACUAAUAAAACUCAAAUUUUUUCAAAUUUUUGAAUUUUUUCGAUAAAGUUUGCAUACAAACAUAUAAUUAACUUGUGCUCCAAAUAUUUCUUUAGUCCAACCAAAAUACAAUUAUCUAAGGUGUUUCUUAAGAAAAUAACACAAAAUAUGAGAUGAGUACUGAUGACACUAAAAUAUUCAAUAAAAAAUAAUAAGAAAUCAUCAUAUAAAAUAAAUAUUGCAAAGUCAUAAUGAAAAUUAUCAUAAUUUAAAAGUACUAAAUCAUGCUAAAAUAAGUUUAAUAAGUAUUAGUUACAUUACUAAAUAUUUAAGGAAAAUUAAAAUUAGAUUAUGUAUUUUAAUUGUCUAAACCAAUGUAAAACUAAAAAACCAAUAUUCAAUAUUAUUGUCAUUCUUAGGUUGUGUUUGGUAUGAAGGAAAAUGUAUUCCUAGAAAAUGUUUUCAUGGAAAACAAGUUGAUUUUAGUUAAAACCAAGCCAACCCAAAUAUAGUUGGGGUUUUUUUUUCAAUACCAAACCAAGUCAAACCAAAUCACUAGUCGGGUUUUUUUUUGGUUUGACUCAGUUUGCGGUUUGGUUCGGUUUUGUACACCCCUACUAUACGUUUAUCCUAUACCCAAAAACUCAUCUAAAUGUAUAUAAUCAAGUUCUAAAAUCUCAAGCCUACAGUUAGGUCUUAAUUCCUCCAAAUAACAUAACUUUAAUGUUGUUCAUAUAAUACAAUAUACCUAUAUUUAAUUACUUGGUUUACUAUUUCGAAACUUGUAUCCAAUCUAAAGAUCAUGAAAAUAAAAUCCAAAACAAGUAAAACAACUACCCUAUCUGUAACUUACGCCCUGGAAAGAAACGAAAAGUAAAAAAAAUAACACAAGGUCGUCACCCCGCCGUACAUUAAUUUCCCAAUACCACCAAUUCAUUACUUUGGAUUUAUCCAAUCAUCAAUAUACCCUUAUCUAAUAUUAAGCCUUGAAAUUAAUCUCCACUAAUGUAUUGUCUCCUACCCUAGUAAGUACAAAAAAAAUUGCAGCCAUUAUGAGCCCAUCCCUACAUUCCUUAUCACCAACCAUAUACCUAUUAUUCCCACCCAUUGUAACAAUCAACAUAUAUAUGCAUUACAUAAAGCACAACUCGCCAGAAAAGAAAAACCUUACCUGAAGUAUGCGGUUUCUUUUCCCUCGUACAUGUUUUGCCACAAUUUGUUAUUUGUGUUAUCUCAAUUACCCCUUUAACUUAAUUCAAUAUAUGGACCAAGUGGUAGGGAAUAUUAAAUUAAUUACUGAUUUGGCCCAUUACUUUCAACUAAAUUAAUUAUUUAAUAAAUAUCCGUUAAUUAAAUAAUCGUAGUUACUAAAAUAGCUUAAAAUUUAUAUUUAAAAUUUUACGAGAAAAGUCAAAAUAGUACUAGUGUUCAAAACGACCUAACGGAUCAUUACAAUAUCCCCGGUCAUUUUCAUAACUUGACUCCAGCAUUCACAAAAUUUAAAAAUAAGAAACAACAUUUAUAUCUGAUAAAUAAAGAUGCAGUUUUUGAGGGUAUAGCAGGUAAAAAGUUCUACAUUGGAUGAAAAGUUCUACAUUUUUCAAAAUAAUUAGUCAUUUAAUUGAGGGUAUAAUAGGUAAAAUUUUUUUGUCCUUUCUUGAUUUGUCAAAAUAGACAAGUAAUUAAGGACAACUAUAAAAGGAAAAAUAGACAAGUAAUUAGGGACUGAGGGAGUAUCAAUACUAAAAUCUUGAUAGAAUUUGGAUUCUGUAUCCACCUGGGGAUCUUCAUUAGUAUAACCCUCCUAAAUUUUAGGAGUCUUUAUGAGUUUCUAUUAAGAAUUUCUUUGGAUGAUUUUAGUAACUACAACGACUAGUGUAUUCCAAUAUGAAUUGGGAAGUGUUUAAUCCAAAUAUUAGGAAGAUUCAACAAACAUUGCCAUUUAAUGAAAUUUUAAGAUGUAUUAGAGCGGAUGAAUAUAUAUAUACUAGUCUUGGGAACGUGCAUUGCACGUUUGUCCCCUAAUUGACAUUAGAAAAUUUAAUUUAUAUAAGUAAAUAUAUCAUAUUGGAGCGUACAUAAAGUCAUCGCUAUAAAUUCACAAAAUAUAGCAUGAAAAUCUUGUGUCAGAUGUUGGAGGUUUGAUAUUUGUAAUGCUUCGUGAAAAAUAAAUAUUUUAUUAUAUCAGAAGAAUUAAUAUAUUUUAAUUACCAAACAUGAGUUUUAAUAAUCGAAAAAGAAAUUGGCUAUAAAAAAGAGGCGAAAUGGUUUGGUGGACCCUUGUACUUGUAUCUGUUUAUAUUCUGGACCCUUCUACUUACCCUUUUGUCAUCUGGACCCCUGAACCCAUCCAAACACAAUAUUUUAAACACAAUUUUUGAUGUGGCAUCCUAUGUGGAAAGACUCCACAUGGAGCGUGUGAUACACACAAAACAAGAGCGUGAGACAAGUUAAAAAGGCAGUAACAGUCAGAUUUUUACCUUUAAAGACCAUCUCUUCUUCUUUAUUUUCACUCAACACCAUUGUUGGACAAAUUUGAGUUUUUUUC
rnacentral:lncRNA from 1 species